GAAGAAAAGAUAUAGUAAAGCAAAAACUUUCACAUGCCACACUGCACGAUCAUGCAGUGUUUAUUAUUCCAUUGAUUAUUUAUUUGUUCAUUUCCAUACACACAAUUAAAAACAGAGUCUAAGGGACUUUGUUUAGUCACAUGCAUGAUACAUAGUUAUACUUGCUCAGUUCUUAAUGACCUCCUCCACCUCAGAGUUGUGACAUGCUUUAUAGCAGAAUUUAUGAGUAUCAAAGCACUGACACUGGGGAGGAUAAGAUAGUGCACAAAUGCAACUGUCGCAUGCUGAGUGACAAGUUUCUCCAACAUCAACACAGCGACACGUAGGAGGGUCUGAUUUUGUGCAAAGGCAGGUAUCACAACAUGCUGAUUUGACAUCAUCACCAUUGGAGAGCACUUGAGUUAUGAAGGAAGUUGAAUCAAAACGAGCGUUAACAACAUUUGCGGCGAAGCUCAAGAGGAAAACCAUUAGAGCUAACUUCAUCAUUACCUUCUUAUUCAUCAACUCCAUUCUAACUCUUUUUCUCUUUCUUACUUUCUCUCUCUCUCUUUCUUUAUUUGCCUUGUGAAAAAGCAUGAAGCUACAUAGAUCUAUUUAUAUUGGUAUUUUUAUUCAAUUUUAUUAAUUUAAGUAUGUUUAUAGGCGUAAUUAUCCUCUAUUAUAUUAUUAACUUUUGGUUCAUCUUUCGUACGUGUAGACAUUUUUCUGACGAAAUGCAUAUCUGUAGACAUAAGGCCAUGCCAUGUAUAAGAACAUGUAUUAUUCAUUAUUAUAAUUUACACGUGUACCUAUUGCACUAAAAACUAAAUAAUUAACAAUUAGAGAUUACAUUAAUAUAAUUAAAUAAUUAACAAUUGAGAGGCAACAAUAGCAUGAAGCUACAUAGAUAUAUUUAUGUAGGUAUUUUAAAUCCAUUUUAUUAAUAUAAGUGUUGUCCUUAAAAAAUAUUAAAUUUUUUUUCUGUCUCACUUGUCACUUGUCAAUUUUUUUCUGGUGCAUGUGACUAAUAAGCAUAACAUUUAUUUUUUUCUUUCAACGAUUCCAUUUAAUCGAGGAGAAUAAUAAGAGAGGGUUACUUCACAAAAUUAUUCCUUCUUUUUUUUUUCAAAAAUCAUUAAAAGAAAUAUAUUCUCCUCCUAUAUCAUAUCUAACUCUUUUUAUUUUUUUAUUUAAUUGAUUUUCAACCUCGACUUUGUAUAAGAUAAAUUUAUGAACGCUUCAUCUUUAUGUUUUAACAAAUAAGCUUUAGUGAAUCUUGAACAAUCAUCUAUAAAUGUUUUAUAAUAAUUAUUUCGUCCUCUAGAUGUAGUUUGCUUUAAGUCUCCUUAAUCAAUACGAAUUAGACCAAUAAGAUCAGAUUCACAUUGCACAUACAUAUAUUUUUUGUGUGUUAAUUUUGAUUCUAAACAAAUAUCACAUUGACCAGAUUGCUUAUUAUUUAAAGUAAUCAUAUCAAGAAAUUGUAUUGUAUUAAUAUAAGAAGAAUUAACAUGUCAUAUAUCAUAAGAAUCAAUCAAGUAAGCAUAAGAAGAAAUUUUAUUAUUCAUAACUUCAUAAAUGUUCAACACAAAGAGUCUCGGGUCACAAUAACUUUUUCCACACAAAUACAUUAUUCUUUGUCAUUAUAAUCUUGUUAGAUUCAAAUGACCCUUUAACCGCACCAUUGCUCAAAAGAGCCACAUAAAUUAAAUUAGUCCUAAUAUUAGACGUAUGUAAUACUUCACUUAAAGCCAAUGUCUUUCCUGAUGUGAACUUUAAUAUAACUUUUCCUUUUUCUGAAAUUGCAACAGUUUGAGAAUCGCCCAGAUAAAAUCGUUCUUCUCCAUCCUCCACAAUAGGUAAAGGCAUCUUUAUUAGCACAAAUGUGCCUAGUAGCCCUAAAGUCUAUUACCCAUUUGUUCGCAUCAGUCACAAUAUUUGCUUGAGCAAUGACAACAACAAUAAUAUCACCUCCUUCAGCCAAAUUAGCUUUAGAAGGAUUGUCAUUCCUCUUGCAAUGUUUGCAUUGAGGUGCAUGAUGACCUGACUUAUUACAAACGUAAUAUUCUUCUCUUUUUUAAAGUGAGAUUAGUAACACAAGGGAUAAAAUUAUUAUUAUUAUUAUGACCAGAUUUAUGAUCGGGUUUGUGAUCGUACCUCUUUUUGUAAAACUUAUUACUAGUGUUAUUAUGGACCAAAUUUGCUCGAGAAACAAAACUUUUUUCCUUGGUAGCCUUGCUCUCCUUUAUAUUUGUACCCUCGAUAAUGAUGUGUGUGAUCAAAUCUGCUAAAGGUAAUUUCUUUUGCUUAUGUUUGAGUUGAUUCUUGCAAUCCGUCCAUGAUUCCAACAUCCUCUCAAUGAGAAUUCCAACAAUGAAUUAACCUGGCAAAGUUAUUUUCAACUUUCAGUUCUUCUAACAAUUUAUGAUACUCGUUGAUCUGCGCCUUUAUAUCUUUAUCUUCCGACAUUUUCCAAUGAUAGUAAUUUCCGAUCAAAUUUUUUUCUCUUCCAGCGAUAUAAUUUAGAUUCACCGAAUCCCAUAUCCAUUUUGCUUCCUUGUAUGGGCAGUAGAAAUCAAACAAAUUGUUAGAAAGAGUACUUAAUAUUGUGUGUCGACAUACCUUGUUUGCAUGUGCCCAUUGAUCGAUAAAUUUUUGAGUUGCAGACGAUGCUGGUUUCAAUUCUUAGAGAGCAUAUGCAACACCAUGCAUGUCAAGGAUGAAGUGAACAUGCUCAUACCAUCUGCGAAAGUUUUGGCCAUUGAAAACUUCAAUUUUUGACACAUUGGGGAAUGAUUUAGUGUAAUUGAUAUUCGGCACAACGAGAGGUGGUUGUUGUUGAAUAGUUUCAACAUUGUUGAUUUGAGGUUGACGGUUGGAGUCAUCACUGGAAUUGUCUUUGAUAGACAAAAUCCUCGAGAUUGUUGAAUAAUUUGCUAUGAAGACCUGUAAAAUAAGAUUGGGUUAAAUAAUCUGAGACGCGCUGACCGCGUUGUCCUCAAGGAUUUUCCACGUAAUACGCUAACCCUUUAGGAUUUAUCCGAUUCUUCUCAGUAAAUCGAGGAUACAAAACUCGCAAGAAAAAUUAUUUGAGCUAUUAGAAAUUAAUCCAGAAUUAAGAAAAAUCAAAUUAAAAAACGAUUUUUUAAAUAGUGUUUUUUCUUGUAUUAUGUGCAAAGCCUCACUUGUCUACUUCUUUUUUUGUCCUUUCUAUGUAUUAUAUAUUCUAGUAGAGAAGAAUAGAAUAAUAAUCAAUAAAAAUCAAUAAAUGAUUUCAUUACUUUUAGAAUAUCACAUUUUAUCGCCAUUAUUCUGAAUAAAGAUUUUAACGUCAAUGUAAUAACAGAAUGCAAGUAAUAAUAUUUUGUUACUUAAUUUGAAAUUGAAAAAUAUUAUAGAUAUUGAAUGACGUUUUAAUUUUAUUUACAUUUUUUAUUUUUAAUAUUAUACACACAUGUUAAUUUAUCGUUUUUAUUAAAUACAUCACUAUCAAACUUGUACUCAUUUUAAAAUAAAUGUUUGUUUAUUUAUUAUCUCAACAAUAAUAUCUUUGAAUUUUUUUUAAUGUUUUUAAAAACUUCAAAUGACAUGAUAAAUUAUUUUUUAUUAGAAAUGUGAGUAAACAGGUAUGGAUAUGAGUACUUAGGUACGCAUAGGGUACGAGGACAAAUAUAAAUAUUGGUGCCCAUGCGAAUAUAGACUCGGGUAAGGAGAAUUUUUUAAACUGCAGGUACGGGAACAUGUACUAUGCUCAAACCAUGCUCAUCCCACAAAUCCUAGACCAACCAAAAGAAGACAUGGAACCGCGGAAGCUAUGAGUGAAGGUGCUUAGUGGAAAUCGAAACCCUGGGAAUGGGAUAGCGAUUGAGUUCGCAACUCCUAAGAUUGCCAAUGGUGAGAUUGAAAUCGAGAUAGAAGAAGCUGACAUAGAGACUAAGGUAAAGUUUUGGGACUCUGCACUAAUAAUGUAUGUCAUAGGUGGUGAAGUGGGAAUGAAUGUUGUUAAGCAGUUUAUGAUGACGAAGUGGAACUUUGUAAAGCUUCCUGACAUGUACUAUAAGGAUGAACGUUACUUAAUUUUGAGGUUUCACUCCCAUCUUGAUAGGGUUGCAGUGAUGUUGAGGGGCCCGUAUACUAUCAUCAAUAUGCCUAUGUUGUUGAGGGAAUGGAAAACAAAUUUCAACCUCAAGAAUGAUAUGUUGUGAAACCUCCCAAUCUAGGUGAAAUUUCCUCAAAUCCCUCUCCAUUUUAGUGGAGGUAGACUUCACCCAAAAACUAACAAAUGAAAUCACCAUCAAAUAUGCAUAAGGGCGCAAAAUGAAACAACUGGUUGAAUACAAAUAGAAACCCCCUAGUGUGAGAAAUGUCAGAAAGUUGGACACAAUUGUGGAGCUCAAAAGCAGAAACCAACAACAAGAUAAUGGGUCCCAAAAAAUUCUCAACAAACAGUGGUGAAGGAGACUCCUAAGGAAACUAUAGAAAUAGCUACCACUAGUACAACUCAGAUCAUUGGGACUCCUACAAGCAUUGAGAUGGAACAGGUGGAGUGGACCAAGGUUGGCAAAAGUCGAAGAGACAUGGGAAAGAAAGCUAUGUCACCUCAACAAACAGAUUUGAAGCACUAGGAUUGAGAAAAGACUUAGGGUCUGUUUGAAUUACUUCUCAAAAACUGUUUUUUAAUUUUUAAAAAAUAAAAACUAAAAAACUUGUUUGAUAAACUAUUUUUAAAAUAGUAGUUUUAAAAAUUAGAUUUGUUUUUUAGUUUUAAAAACUGAAAGAGUAAAAUUGAUAAAUAUAGUUUCAGUUUUUAAUAUGUAGUUUCAGUUUUCAUUUUCAAUUUUUUUUAAAAAAAAUCCCAAAAAUAAAAAUUUAUGGAAAAAUAUAAAUUUUUAUUAAUGGUAUUUUGAUGAUUUAUUUAUUUAUUUAUAUAUAAUUUCAAAAGGAUAUCAAUAUUGUACGAAGAAUUUUGAGAAGAAAAAAAAUCCAUAAUAAUAAUAAUUAUGAUUUGUAUAAAUGUUUAGCAUAAAGCCAUUACUAAAUCCUAAAUACUAAUGGCGGAUCAUUUUAAUUUUAUUCAUGCAUUCAAGUUCUGUUUUUUUUCUUUAAAUAACUUAAUUCUUUCGAUUUUUUAUAUUUUCAUUAAUGUAAUUAUAUAUAUAUAUAUAAAAAUAUUUUACAUAUACAUCCAACUAAAUUACAUCAAAUAAAUAUACUAAAAAUUAAUCUAAUAAUGUAUCACUAGCAUGUAUUUUGAUUCGAUUAAAAAGUUUUACAUAGUAAGUACAUACAAAUUUACUUAAGAUUAUUUAAAAAAAAGUAUGGCUCAAAAACCUAACUAUAGGAAGGCAUGAAGACAAUAGGCGCCUAGGGGUGGCAAAACAGGCCCGGUCCGCCGGGCAUGCCCGUUUUUCCCGCACCUUAGUGCAGGGCGGGCCAAGGAUUUAGGCCCCCAACAUCUAAUGUGUCCGCCCCGCCCCACCCCGUUCUUUUCCGCAGGCUUUUGUGGGCACGUGCGUUUACAUAAUUUUUUGCAUUUUUAGGCUUAAAGAGUGCAGUGUCCGCGGGCUUUCCCCUUCCCGCCCUCACUUUUUUGUAGGACGGGCCUAAGUUUUAGGCCCACAUCCUCAAUUAUGACCGUCCCGCCCCACCCCGUUUUUUUGCGGGCUUUUGCGGGGCAGACCUAUAUGGGGCGGGCAUGUCCGUUUGCCACCCCUAUAGGCGCCACGUGGACGACAGUAAAGAAGGGCAUCGAGGACCCGAUCCAGAUUUUCAAAUUAUACUCAGUUGAACAUGUUUAGAGGAAAAAUUCUACAAGAGUGUGCUAAGGCCUAGGUAAAGAACGCCAGAGAUAAGAUAUCCCAAUAACGUAAAGUAGUUAGCACAAAUCGAUAGAUCAAAAUUUAAUUAUUAAUUAUAAUAAAAAUAUUUUAAAUAUAUAUUUGUUAAUAAAAGUGUUCUUAAAAAUUAGACUACCAAAUAGAUUUUUUAUUUUCUCAUCUCUAGAACUGUUUUUGAAAAUUAACUUAUCAAAUGAAUUUUUUAUUUUCUCAUUUCUACAAUAGUUUUGAAAAGUUAAAUUAUCAAACAAAUUUUUUAUUUAUUCUCUUCUUAAAAAGAAUUUUCUAAAACAAUUUUAUAAAAUAAUUUUUAAAAAGUAAAAAGCAAAACUCAUUCAAACGAGCUCUUAUUGUUUCAUGAAGAUGUCUCGUGAUUAUUGCUUGGAAUGUGAGGGGGCUCAAUAAAUCAGGUAAUAUUAGGGAGACUAGAGUGAAAAGUAAUAAGGCUGAGGCUAUUAGAGGCAAAUUGAACAUGAGAGGUAAUUACUUGGAUUACUAUAACAAGGAUGACAACGGUAGGAUUUGGGUGUUUUGGAAAGACAACAACGUUAUCAUCAAGAUGAUCAAGAGCACUGACCAAAUGAUACACUGUGGGAUCUUUGAGUUAAAUUAGGACUUAAGCUAUUAGAUGAUUGCUAUAUAUGCCUUGAAUCAAUUAGAUCAGAUAAAGAAUCUUUGGAAAGACAUUGAAGAUAUUAACUGCAAACAAAAGGGUUCAUGGUUCUUAUUGGGAGACUUCAACAAUGAUUUGAUAUCUCAAGACAUGAUUGGGGGGAAUAUGGCAACUGAAAAAGGAGUACAUUGACCUGAUAAGAAUGAUGGAACAAAUUGGAUUAUAUGAAAUGGGCAGCAGUGGGGACUAUUUGGUCUAACAAACAAAGUGAGAAUUUUAUCUAUUUCAGAAUUGACAGAGUGCUAGGUAAUUUGGAAUGGCUUCAGGAUCAUAGUGACUAUGAUGUCACUGUUAUCCACCCUAGUGUGUCUGAUCAUGCCAUGCUUUGCUUGAAAAGGUAUGAUAUUCUUUGGAAAAUAAUAGGAAAAUAAAUAGUUUCAAGUUUAUUAUCAAUGUUGCUGAUUUUGAGGGCUUUUUUAGUGUUGUUGAGAGAAGUAGGAAUGCCCCCUAUUAAUGGUAUGCCAAUGUAUAUUCUUUGGAAAAAACUGCAAAGAUUACAACCUGUUCUUAAUGCUAUGAGUAAGCUUAUUACUGAUGUGAAGCUGAAUAUUAUGAAAGCUAGGGAAAACUUGCAAACAACCUAGUUGAAUCUUUGCAAUGACAAAAUGAAUAUGACCAAGAUUGAUCUGGUAAAGAAACAUACUGAGGAGCUUAUUAACUUGAAGGAGAUGGAGGAAAAUGUGCUUAAACAAAGGCUAAAUUGGAUUGGCUAAAACUAGGGGAUGGAAAUAAUAAGUAUUUCCAUGCCUCCAUUAAAGCUAGACACAAGAAGAAAAGUAUGAAUACUCUACAAAAGAAUGAUGUUACUCUUCUAACUACUCAAAAUGAUAUUCAAAGGGAGGUGUUGGAUUUCUAUACUAAUCUGAUGGAUACAACUGACAUUUUAUUGGAUGGCAUUGACAUUAAUGCCAUGAGAAAUGCCCCCCAAUUGAAUAAUGAUCAUAGGGAAAUGCUUAUUGCUCUAGUUUCUGAUUAGGAGAUUGUCAAGGCUCUUAAAGGUAUUGGUGAUCUGAAGUCUCCAGGGUUGGAUGGGUAUGGGGAUUACUUAUUUAAGAAAGAUUGGCAAGUAGUGAAGACUGAUAUGAUAAAUGGUGUCCAAGACUAUUUUAUUAAUGGUAGAAUCUACAAAGCUUUUAACUGCACCUUGGUGAACAUCAUCCCUAAGAGUAUGGAGGCAAAAAUUAUUAGGGAUUAUAGACCUAUUUCCUGUUGUAUCACCAUCUAUAAGAUUAUCUCCAAAGUUCUAACUUCUAGAAUGAGUAAUAUUUUGGAGAGUAUUGUUGAUAAGAACCAGGCUGCAUUUGUCCCAUGCUAAGAUAUUCACAACCAUAUCCUUUUGUCUUAUGAGCUUAUUAAGGGCUACACUAGGAAGGGAGGUACUCCUAGAUGUAUGAUGCAGGUGGCCAUUCAAAAAACCUAUGAUUAGUUGAUUGGAAUGUUAUGGAGUGUAUUCUUAAUGAUAUUAGGUUCCUUAGACUGUUCACUAAUUAGAUUAUGCUUGUUGUUUCUUCUGUCUCUUACAAGUUCAAUGUCAAUGGAGAUUACUUAGGCAUUAUGCUGGCUAAAAGAGGGUUGAGGUAGGGUGAUCCCAUCUCACCUUUGCUCUUUAUCAUUGUCAUCGAUUACUUGAACAUAAUUUUACAUAAAAUGCAGAGGAACAACAACUUCAAUUUCCAUGCCAAAUGUGAAAAACUAGGCCUUGCCAACCUUUGCUUUGUUGAUGACCUACUGUUGUUUUCUAGAGGGGGCAUUAUGUCAGUUGAAAUUAUGAUGAAGUCUUUCAAGAGCUUUUCUAACUGUACUGGACUCAGAUCCAACCCUAUAAAAUGCCACGUCUAUUUUGGUGGGGUGGAGCACAACACUAGAGAUAACAUUAUGCAUAUUAGAUCCUUUAAAGAAUGAGUCUUUCCCUUCUUGUAUUUGGGUGUGCCUAUGACAGGUAAGAAACUCACACUUCAUCACUAUAUGAAUCUUAAUGAUAGAAUAUUAGGGAGAAUAACACAUUGGAGUGCUAGCUUGUUGAAUUAUGCUAGAAGAAUUCAACUCCUGAAAAGUGUCACCUUUGAUGUUAUGAACUAUUGGAUGCAGUGUUUCCCUUUCCCCAAGUUUGUGAUUCAUAAAAUAGAUGCAAUUUUUAGAACUUUCAUGUGGACAGGUGGUACUGAAUUGAGUAGGAAAUCCCAUAUUGCAUGGAAGUCUGUAUGCAAACCUAAAAGUCAAGGUGGCCUGAACAUGAUUAAUCUCGAAGUUUGGAAUAAAACUAACUUGGUGAGGCUUUUAUGGAAUCUUAAUGGUAAGUCCGAUAGCCUUUGGGUUAAAUGGGCCCAUACGUACCUAUUGCCUGAAACAACAACAUUUGAUGGAUGUCGGAGUGAGGAACAACUCCUCUUAGAUUAUUAAAUCCAUCCUGAAUCAAAGAGACAACAUCCACCACUUGCAGGCUUGGAUUGAGUUGCAGCAAACCUAUAAGUUCAGCAUGAAGAAAAUGUAUAAAGCCCUCCUUGAUGACACUCAAAAUGUUUAUUGGAGAUCUUUAUUUUAUGGGAAUAUGACGCGCCCUAGAGCUCUUUUCACCAUUUGGCUUGCUUUCCAUGAAAGGCUUGCAACAAAGGGCAGACUGUCUAGGUUUGGCAUGACUGAUAGUAUCAAUUGUUAUUUUUGUAAUGCAACAGAAACCCAACACAAUCUUCUCUUUGUUUAUCCUUAAAAGAAGGUCACAUGGGAGAAGAUUCUUGACCGGGUUCAAAUGCAGCAUACUCCUGCUGAUUGGAGGAACAAGAUUAGUUGGAUUAUCCGACGUAGCAAAGGCAAAGGAUAUAAAGUUGCCACUCUAAAACUUGCAGCAACAAAAACUAUCUAUGCAGUUUGGCGCUACAGGAAUGAUAAAUUUUUUGGUAAUGAUGUGAGUAAUACUAAUAGAGUAGACAUCAUCAUCUAUACGAUUGUGGUUGUUUCUUGAUAUUUGUCAUGGUUAAUUUGUAGGCGGGAUUUAUGCAAUCACCUUGUACAUAUCAUUUUUGAAUUAAUCCAAGUCUUGAUUAAAAAAAUGUAAUAAAACAUUUUAUUAUUUUCUUUACUAAAUUUGAUAACAAUAAAAACCAUAAGAUAUUUAAAAAAAAACUUAAAAAUAGGCCGUUGAGAAUUGAUGAUACAAAAAGUUAAUUCAAGUUGUUGUUGUUAGUGGUGGUCGUGUUGUUGUUGUUGCUGUUGUUAUUGUUGUUGCUGUUGCUAUUGUUGUUACUAUUGUUGCUAUUGAUGUUGUUGUUAUUAUUAUUAUUAUUAUUAUUAUUAUUAUUAUUAUUAUUAUUAUUUAUAAUAAUAUUAUUAUCAAUGAAAUUUAAAAUGAUUUUGUAUUAUUAAAAACACAAAUAACAUAUAUGUUGUAGCAAUUUAGUCUUUAAGUUCACCAUUUAGUAUAUUUGAGAUAGUAUUCUUAUAAAAGUACAUUAUGUUAAUAUUUUUUUAAGGAUAACUGCGUCUAUAAACAUACUUAUAUUAUUAAAAUGAAUUCAAAGUGCCUACACAAUAGUUUCAUGUUAUUGUUAGCCUCACAAUUGUUAAUUUAUUAUCUAUUAUAAAAUAUUAAUUCUUAAUUAUGAUAUAGUUUAUUGAUAACUUAUAUGUUUCAUGCUAUAUCAAUUUAUAAAAUCUGAUGUGAUAUUAUUUAAAAAAAUUUAAUUUAUAAAAUCUGAUGUGGUACUAUUCAAAAAAAAUUAAUAUUUAUAUUUUUAAUAUCUAUCUUAACAUAAUAUGUAACAUUUUAUUUAUAAUUAUUUUUCAAAACACAAUUAUUUAUAUUCUACCUAUCAUUUUUCUAAAUUAUAAACUCAAUACAAAAUAAAUAGCAUAAAUGGUUAUAUAGAAUAUGUAACAUUCCAUUUAAAAAAUAAUUAUAAAUGAAACGUUCCAUAUUAUGUUAAGAUAGAUAUUAAAAUUUUUAUUUUACAACAACAUUAUAAUUAUAUAAAUACUCAAAUCAUAAUCCAAUCCAUAAAAAUUCAUUCAACCAUCAUUCUCACUAUUUUUUUAAAUUAUAAAUUCAAUACAAAAUAAAUAGCAUGGAAAAUUAUAUAGAACGUGAGUGGUUUGAACGUGGAACAUCUUUAUCCACAAAAUAAUAAAGAAUAAACAUUCUUAGAGAUAUUGAAGUUCUUUUACACUUAUUUACAUUUUAAAAUAAAUUUCUAAUGUUUUAUUUGCAUUUCUACUAUUCAAACAUAUUUUCUUACACUUAAAGUUUUACUCUCUCUUUUUAUCAUCUUCAACUUAUAUCUUUUUUACAAAAAAUUUAAUAAUAAAUAAGAUCACAAAUUUAUUAAUAAUAUAUAAAAUUAAAAUUUAUAUUUUAUAAUAUUAUUUUAAAAAAUUAUCUCAACUCCAGCCCAUCGCGCAAGUCUCAUUCAUUCUAGUUAUUUUAUUAUUAGUGUAACAUCAAAGACGUGUAAAAUACAAUCAUUGUUAUAUAUGGCAAAACCUUAUGUCUACAAAUAUGCAUUUCAUCAGAAAAAUGUCUACACGUAUGUAAGCUGAACCAAAAGUUAAUAAUAUAAUAGAGGAUAAUUAAGUCUAUAAACAUAGUUAAAUUAAUAAAAUUGAAUUAAAAUACCAAUAUAAAUAGAUCUAUGUAGCUUCAUGCUUCUUCACAAGCCAAACAAAGAAAGAGAGAGAGAGAAAGUAAGAAAGAGAAAAAGAGUUAGAAUGGAGUUGAUGAAUAAGAAGGCAAUGAUGAAGUUAGCUCUAAUGGUUUUCCUCUUGAGCUUCGCCGCAAAUGUUGUUAACGCUCGUUUCGAUUCAACUUCCUUCAUAACUCAAGUGCUCUCCAAGUCUUAGUUUAAGUUAUUACAGAGUAUUUAAUAUACACAUAAAUAUAGAAGUUUAUUAUAUAUAUAUAUAUAUAUACUUUAGUUAUUUCAAGAAGGACAAGACAAUAUUAGCAGAGAAAGUUAUAAAUGAAGUCCACACUAUUAAUACGUAGUCGCUAAUCUUCCACCUGUCCUCUCUUAAUCUUAAAUGAUAGAGAUAAAUAAAGUUCGAUUCACGAUAAAGAUGGUAUUUUAAUAAUGGUCUUUACUUGGUGGAGCUUACUAAUUCUUCCUCCCUCUUUUACCUGUUUAAAAUUUGACCAUUUUCCUUCAUCCGUUAGUUGAACUUUUUUGAAGGUAGUGAUUUUUCCUUUGCAAUUUUUUGCAAGAAAGGUUUUCUUUUAGAGAAAAUAUAUUUAAGUGGAGGGUGAUUGUCGAUCCAGUUGGAGUCUCUUGUCUUUUGUCUGGGAGAAAAUAAUAAAAAAUUGAAUUUGGAAUAUUUCAGUACAAUUCUUUAUAUCUAUUCCGAUGUAAUUUGGAAUGUUAAUAAAUUCUCUUUCUCUCCGAGCAUAUUUUUAUAUAUAUAUAUAUAUAUAUAUAUAUAUAUAUAUUCAACUAUACAUGCGUCAAUUGUAAUGGCGCAUACUCUUACAUUUUAUAUACAUGCGCCAUUACAAUUGCCGCAUGCUCUUACAUUUUAUAUACACGCGUCAAUUGCAAUGACGCAUGCUCUUACAUUUUAUAUGCAUGCGCCAAUUGCAGUGGCGCAUGAGUAUAAAUUGAUUAAUGCAUGCGCUAUAACAUAUGACACAUUAGUUCAUUUAAAAAAAAAUGAUUACAUUGAUAAAUACUUUAAAAUUAUGACUAUUUUCGUAUUAUUUUUGAAAAUAAUAAUUAUUUAAAAUAAAAUCCGAAGUUAUCAUAUAUUCUCUUUAUAUAGUGUUUGCUUUAAUAAUCAAAAGUUAUAUAAAUAAUGUAUUUUUUUUAUUUUACUAUCUUUUAUUCUUUCUACGUCUUCUUUAAUCUGCCGUCCUUACUAUAUUCUUAAUUUCAUUCUUUAUUUUUUUCUUUUUCAGGUAGGGAUGUUCGCGGUGCGGUUUGCGCGGGUUUUGCGAUAAAAAUCACCCGAACCGCAAGAGAAAAAACAUGCGGUUCGGUUUGGUUCGAAUGAAUUUUAGAAAUAAAACCAAACCAAACCAAACCAAAUUAAUGCGGUUUGGGUUGGUUCAGUUGAUUCGGUUUUUUAUAAUAUUUUUAUUGAGCCAUAUAUACUCCUAUAAAUAACGACAUAACUUUGUGUUUAGUCAUUCAUAUAUUACUAAAUAACAUCAAAAUUCAUCAUAUUUAGACAAAAACGUUUCAUAUAUACUCCUAUAAAUAACGACAUAACUUUGUGUUUAGUCAUUCAUAUAUUACUAAAUAACAUCAAAAUUCAUCAUAUUUAGACAAAAACGUUUCAUUCAAUAUACAAAAAACCAGAUUAGGCAAAGUGGAAUAAAUGACAAAUAUAAAUAGUAGCAUAAAAUAAUAUCAAAGACAUUAUAAUAAAACAUAAAAAAAACAUAUGAGAUGAGAGAUUAGAGAAGAUGAAAAAAAGAACAUAAGAGAUGUGAGAUUGAGAAGAAAAGUGCAAUAAAAAUGUAAUUGGAAGAGAAAAUAGUAACAUAAAAGAUAAAAAAGAAAGAACAUAAUAAAGGACUUAUUAGAGUAGAAUAGGCGAGACCUACAUGGAAAAUAAGAUGAGAAGAAUGUAUGAUACUACUAUGAUAGAUUUAAGAAGGUUGAAAUUGAAACCCUAAGUGUGAUUAAGAGAAAAUCGUUUGUAAUGGUAAGGUUAAGACAUAUUAGGUUUGAGGUUUGGGUUAGAUGUGGGAUAAGUGAACUUUGGGUUGUAACAUAAUGCGGUUUGGUUUGGUUUAGUUCGGUUUGCAAAAUACAAACCGCAAACCAAACCAAACCGUACGGUUUUAUUAAAAGAUGAUCCAAACGAAUCCGAACCAAAUACGGUUUUUUGCGGUUUCAGUUUGAUUUGGUUUGGUUUGGUUUGCGGUUUUCUAUUGGGUUGGUUUGGUUUUGAACACCCCUAUCUCCAGGUGUUGCAUAAUGCGGAGGGAUUAAAGCCGAUGAAUAUAUAUUAGGAAUCACUUAAUUUUUUUUACUCCAACAUUGUUAAUUAUUUGUUUCGUUUAAUCUAUAAUCUUCUAUUAUCCUUGAGUACCUAAUGUGUGCUUUAGAUAUGGUCUUUUUAUCCUUCACAUCAAUAGUCAUAGUAAUUAAUUUUGAGGUUAUGACUAAAAAAUAAUUCUAAUUAAUUUUGCUUUAUUUAAUUUUUUUUAAUUUGACAUAUUAAAAUUUCUUUGUGAAUACAGGACUUUUGAAUUUUUUUAUUUGAGACACAACUAAUUUUCAGUCAAUGCAUAUAAAUCAGACACACAUAAUUAUAUUGACUCUUUUUAUACAAUUUGAUGGAGCGAUCAUGAUAGACGUGCGGCUGUGCAUUGUUAGUUGCACUCUUUCACCUUCAUUUUCAUUUUUUCCAUUUUAUAUCAUUUGCUUCCUUCUUCCAUGUUUUUAAUUUUUUAAAUUUUGUUUAAGUGUUAGUAAAUAUUAUUUUUGUUAACUCAAUUUAAAUUUAAUCUAUACAUAAAUUAUUUUAAGUGGUGUGUAUGCUUUUAUUUUCAAUGCCAAAAUUACUGAUUAAUUAAAUUUGGAAAGUUCCUCUUAUUCUAAAUUAAAAAUAUUCAAAUAUUUUAAAUAUAUUUCUUUAAUGAUAUGAUAUUUUGUCAUGUAUAUGUAGUUUUUUAAAUCUUAAGAACGUAUUGACAAAUAAAUAUAUGAAGAAUUGAUUCGAAUCUUUAUAAAAUAGAAAAAAUUAUAUUACAUUAUUUAUUAUUUAUUUUAUUUUAUUUUUUUAAAAAAAAUCUAAUUUAAAAGUCUUAUAUUUUUUUCUUUACUACGAAAAACAAUCAUAAGGAAAUAAAUAACUUGCAUUGCUUCCUGUUGUGCCGAAAUAUUAAAAUCUAAUUUGCAAUUGCUAUAAAGUAUCAUAUAAAUGGUAUAUUGUUCUUUCCUUAACAAUGGAAUGCGGUACAAUGCUUAUUGAUUUUGCAAUUAUUGUACACUAUCUAUAUAUAAAAUGCAUAUUGGUUUGACAUUUUUUUACGGACAUAUUCAUGAGGAAGGAAAAAUACAACAUGUAAGUGUUCUUUUCAAAGACAGUGUUGGUAUGAACAUGAAUCAAUUAAAAAAAAACAAUAUUAGUGAUUUGAUUGUAAAGUUCUCUUCCUUUUGUUUAUUAUCUAAAGUUAAUUUGCAUAAAUGAUAAUAAUUGUGUAGCGUUCGGUAAAUCGAUAAAUCGAUUGAAGGAUAAAUUAUUUUUUUUUUAAAUUUAAAAUAUGAAUUUGUUAGUUCCUAAAGUAGUCAAAUUAAAUUUUGAAAUUUUAAUUUAUACAACUCUGAUUGGAAUAAAUAAUAUUAUUGUAAUAUAGAAUUUAAUUUAUUUGUCAAAUUUUGAAUAAAGUAUUAUAUUUAUAUUUUAAAAUUAUUUAUUAAAGUAGAGUUUUUAAUCAUCAAAGUGACCAAUUCAUAAAAGUUUAUAAUUUUAAAAAUUUACAAAUAAGUUUCGAUUAUGAACUUCAAUCUAUUAUUUAAUUUUGAAAUGAAAAGUUUAUUAUUUAAUUUAAAAUUAUUUGAGUUAGAAAUUUGUUAAUUAAAAUGGUCAAAUUAAUUUUAUGAUUCUAAAUUAUGCAAUUGAAGUUGAUUUGGAUGCUAUGUGUAGAGCUGUCAAAAUGGGAUAAAGCCCAUGAGCCGGUCCAUCGAGCCCGAAAAAAUUUUGGGUUUGGACCUUAUUUUUGGAGCCCAUAUAUUUUCGGGCCUUUUUUGGUCUGGCUCGAAAAAGCCAUAAAAAAUGGGACGGCUCGUAUGAGCUAUGGGUAGCCCAGCAACCUCAAAUAAUUUUUUUUGAAAAAUAAUUAACUUAUUUAGCACAUGAAUUUAGUCCACCUAUUAAUAUUCAAUUAUUCAACAAAUUCAUUAGUAAAUGUAAUUACACUGUAUUCAAUUACUUAGCCCAUUAAUAAUUGCACUUAUUCAAUUAUUAUUUAGUAAAUGUAAGUUUGAGAUCCAAACAACACCAUAGCAUACCUAUUAGAUGUUUUUGAAUUUGAUUUUGUACGCAUUUGACGACAUCUAUAUUUAGUUAUGAUGUUUUCAUAUUCAUUAUAUUAUUAUAAUAUUUUUCUUUCUUUAUUCAUGAUUUUACUACCAAAAUUUUUGGUGUUUUUAAAUGGUAUGAAAUGUGCUAAAGUUUUUUUAAUUAUGCAAAUAAUAGUUUUUUAUUUUAAUUGGCUUUUUUACGUGUUUUUGCAACAUUGCAGGACUCACAAUAAAAUAAAACUAAUUCUGAAAUAGUUUGAAAUUCAUUCGAUAAUUAAUUAGUUGAAUUUCAUUCAUAAGACAAAUUAAGUUUUGACCUAAACCUUUCGUAACUAAAUGAGUUAAUUGGUAAUAAAUAUGUAGUCUUGAACUGGGAAAAAAAACUUUUAAUUUAUGUGAGCAUGUAAUCUUUAGUGUCUUGAAGUCAUUUAUUUGUAAACUCAAAAUGAUUUUAGUAAUAGAAUAAAAACAAUUUAAAAAAAAGGAUAAUAUGAUUAUUUACAAAAUAAGGAGUUUUUUUUUAAAUGGGUCCAUUUAUGAUCGGGCCCGUUUAGGACCGGGUAGCCCGCAGGCCAGACAGGGAUGUCUGGGUAGUAAAAUUGGAGCCCAUAUUCAAUAUGGGAUUUUUAGGCCUGACCCGAAAAAACCCGAGACCCACCAGGGACAGCCUGUUUAGGACCGGGUAGCCCAUUUUGACAACUCUAGUUAUGUGUUUAAUAAAAUUUAUUAUUAUUAUAAAAUAUAAAGAAAUUAAAGUAUUUUUUUACACACUUGUUCUUGUAUAUCCAAAGAUAUACAUUCAUGUUUUAAGUGAUUUUAUUGUCCAUUAAAGUCUGUUUAUUUAGCAUCAUUAGAAUUUUUUAAAAUGUAUUUAAGUUUUAUUUAAAGGUAGACUUUUAUACUUGUUUAAAGAUGAUUAGUUUGAAUCCAUGAAAUUUAUUCAAAACAUAUUAAUGUAUGAGCAUGUUUUAAUGCUUGUGGUUAAUAGAAAUGUGUUACGGGCUUGAACAUUAUAUUGAUAAUGGAUGAAAAGCCUAUGGCGAUUACGGAGGACACUACAUAAGAGAAAUGUCUCUCUUUGAGAGUUAGGAAAUGUCCAACCGACUAUCUUUGAACUUAAUGGAAAAGGACAAUUCGUAAAGUUUCUCGAAAGUCGUGGUAAAUAUAAACUAUAUACUAUGCAUGACAAACCCCAACAAAACGGUGUUGUUUAAAAGCCGAAUGUACUCUCAUGGAAAUGAUCAGGUCAAUUUUAAAUAUAGCAAGGUAUUAUUAUCAUUGUGGACAUACGCAUUAAGGACCGUUGCAUAUUUGCUUUAAUAGGAUUCCUAACAAGAUAGUUCUUAAAACUCCUUAUGAAUUGUAGACAUGAAGAAAACCUAGUUUAAAGUAUCUUCAUGUUUUGGGCUAUCAAGGAAAAGUAAACAUGUAUAACCCAUAUGAAAAAGUAUAACUUUAUUGUCCUAAUCGUAGUAUGAGAAUAAUGGAAUAUGGUAAUUAUCAAUUUAUUGAAUAUGGUAAGUUCAGUGGGAGUGAGGAAUCAUAUAAAAUGGAUAUUAUGGAGACUUAUGGAACAUCUUCUUCACCUAAAGAAUCUCUCUAUGUUGGUGUCCAUCUAGUUGUAUUAUCGUUAUACAACACAAAGAAACAACAUAUAAUUAUUCACUUGAGCAUGAAUGUGACUUGAGCAUUGAUAAGGAUUCAGUCUCAUUCACACUAGCCAUAGAAAACUGCAAAGAAGGUUCUUAGGUACUUACAAGACACUAAAGAUUACAUGCUCACAUAUAGAAGGUCAGACCAACUUGAAAUAGUUGACUACUCGGAUUUAAAAUUUGUGAGAUGUGUGGACUCAAGAAAAUCCACAUUUAGAUAUGUUUUUCUUCUAACCGGAUGAGUAAUAUCACGAAGACCGUAAAAUAACCUAUAAUUGCUAUUUCUACUAUGAAGGAAAAAUUCAUGGCAUGCUUUGAAGCCACAAUUCAACCACUGUGGUUUUGGAAUUUACCCUUACGGCUUGGUAUUAUCGACAAUAUAGUUAGGCCACUAAGGAUUUAUUGAUAAUUCAAUAGCUAUCUUCUUCUUUAAGAAUGAUAAGCAUUUAACGGAUGUUAAAUACAUGAAAUUGAAGUACUUAUUAGUGAAAGAAAAAGUGCAGAAACAAAAAGUAUCAUUUGAAUACAUUGGUAAAGAUUUAAUGAUAGCGGAUCAGUUAACCAAAAGUUUACCGUCCAAGACAUUCCAUGUAGAAAAGAUAGGCAUUAUGUAAAAGUCAUUCUUAACAUUAUAAUAUAAUCGUUAUAUAUACAUGUAUAAUUUAAUGUCAUAUUGUAUGACACUUGUGAAUUCAAUUAAGAAUAUAUUUCUACUUAGUUUGUUAUCCAUAUUAUAUUUUAUACAUUAUUGUUAAUAUGUGAUGACAAAUGUGCCUUUGAAGAGACAUGAAAGAUACAUAAUUGUAUCCCUUAAAUAUUUAAAUUGGAUUGAUUUGUGAUACAUGGAAGAAAUCAAGUUGAUGAAUGACUUGUGACCGCCAUGAUUCGAUCAUUUCAAUUUAUUAAAGAUAAUGACUUGGUGCUUCUAAUAAAUGAUGAACAAUUAUGGUAUAAAAUCGAAAUAUCAAGUUGUCACAUGAGUCAAGUGGGAGAUUGUUGGAUUAAUUUGUUAAUCCAUUAAAUAUGACUCAUGUAAAUUAAAGAUUGAUUUAAAUAAAAGAUGAUUGUUUAGGUUGAUGGAUAAUUAAAUCAAUUGAGUUUUUUUUAGUUUCAAAAUAAAAUUUAAAUCUCUGUUCUCUCUUCAUGACUAUUGGGACAUGUCUGUUGCAAUAAGAUGUGACCGUUAUAAUAAGAUGCCUAUAAAUAGGCACCAUUAGGAAAGCAACACAAACGGUUCUCAUUAUUUCUGAUUAUCUAUAAAAUAAUAAGAGAAAAUAUAUUAAUCAUCAAAGAUACAUAAAAGAAGAAGGAAGAGAGGAGAAAAUAAUUCGGAUCAAGAAUCAAGAACUGGACAAGAACCGGCGUCAUAAAUCUGGGUAUGUCUUUUUUUAAUGUUUUUCAUAGAAAUUAGAGCACCGUAAAAAUCAUAAUAUCAAGAUUCUAAAUAUGAAAUUUUCUAACAAUUUUUCCAUGAUUCGGAACGUUGUUGUUUGAACUAUUUGAAGUGUUCCAAAUGAUAUUAUUUCUUUGGUUCCUAAACAAAAUUUGAACGAAGUUAAGGGAAAACAAUUAUUUUUCUAUCUUAAAAAUGGUUCUUAGUUAGAUCACCGGAGAACUCGUGUAUUAUCUCUUAUUGAUUUCAGAAUAUUGUCUUCUUCCUUAAUCAGUAACAGAUCAAGAAUUUUGUGGUUUUGAUGCUUCACUUGAAAAUCACUGUUCUAUUAAUAGUGGUUUUUAUGACUUGAAUUCUAGCUUCUCUUUAUUAAAAGAUGAGGCUUUUAUAAUUGUUUGAGGAUUCUCUCUUGUGUAGUAUUUGUAUUGGCUUUUUAGCUUCUUUUUUUUGUUGUUUAUGUAGGCUAUUUUGUUGCUUAUUUGUUUUUAGAAUGAUAAAUUUGGCAUAUAUUAAGCUAUGAAUACCUUUUAUUUAUAUUUUGUUGGGUUAUUUAUCUAACACUUAUUAUUAAUAUAUUAAAUUUAAAUGUAUUUUUGGUCUCCGUUGAUAUUUUAAUUUUUUUUAGUCUUGUAAUUUAGAAUUAAAUUUAGCUUUUUGGUCUUUUUUUUUUACAAUUCUUGCAAUUUUUUUAAUGUAGCGCCACCUAAGCCAAAUAUGUCAUGUCAUAGUAUCUAUAUGUACCUCAUCAUGUAAUAAGAUAUUAUUUAAAUCAAAUUGAUGUAAAUGUCAUAUUGAUGCAAAAGCUAUGGAAGGUAUGAUUAUACUGAAUUUUGCAAUAGGUGAAUGAGUGUCAGAGUAAUUCAAUCCAUUUAUCUGACUAUAGCCUUUGACAACUAACUUUGACUUGAAUCUGUCGAUGCUCCAAUGUAAAUUAUGCUUAAUUUUAUAGAUCUAUCUGCAGUCUGGUUUAAUGUUAGGUGGAGGGUCAAUAAUUUCCCAAGAGCUCAUUUUGUCAAGAGCAUCAAGCUCAUGAGAGUCGACCAAAAGCAUAUGCUAGAAAGCCAAAAGCGAAACAUGCACAGCCUUACCAUCUUUUUAACCUAUAUAUCCCAUUAUACCACUCUUUGAAAAAAAUACCAAAAUACCAUGUUUUGAGAAAUCUUCAACACACAGCCGCCAAUCCAUUGGGCGGUUGAGUGUAAAAAAUUAAUGGACCGCCCAUUCAUUUGGAGCCUGUGUUGAAAACGUAAUUUUUUUUUCCAAAACCAACAUUAUAUGUAAUAUAUUAAUAUUUAGUAUUAUUACAUUAUUAAUUAAAUUAUUAUUGAUUUUAUAUUAAUGAUUUUGAUUUUUCAGUAAUCAACAUUAUUAUUAAAAUUAAUUAUUAUUAAUGAUUUUGUAAAAUUAAUUAUUAUUAAUAAAUUUUGUAGAUAAAAUAAUUGUUUAAUUUAUAACAAAUAAUGAUAUAUGUUACAAUUAAUAGUGAUUUAAUAUAAAUUUAUUAUUAUAAAUUAUACAUAAUAAUUUUUUAGUAAAAUAAAAUAUUAUUAAUAAGUGGGUUAGAUAAAAUAUUGUUUAAAUUAAUAAAUAUAAUAUAAUUUAUAAUUAAUUUUGAUUUAGUAUAAGUUUAUAUUAAUAAAUAUUGUAUAAACUUAUAUAAACUUAUAAGAAAUAUUAAUUAGUAAAAUUUAAGAAUUAUUUAAUUUAGUUAAAAAUUAUUUCUUAUAAAUUAAAGUUGUAGGUAUAAAUAUUUAUUUUAAAUAUAUAAAAUAAGUAAAUUGCAUAUAAAUUAGAAAAAUGAUAAAAAUAAAUACAAGGAUUUUUAUUUAUUGAAAUAAUAACAAGAAACAGGUCAACCUACAAGGUGUUGGUGUGAUUGCGGAAAGUUUCAAGCUUUUCGAGUUCCUUGUUCCCAUGUUAUCGGCGUGUUCAAGAUACACCAGGACGCAUACGGUCUUCUGUCCACCGUUGUUACCAAGGUUUCAAACCUAUUUGGGGUUUACAGUAAUAGUUCCCAGUGCUGCCAUUACGAGUGCUAUGGGGCCUACGGUUUUUGAAGGAAUGCACGAUGCCAUAAUCGGUUUAGCCGAGAAAGGGAACAGAACGCCACCGGACAGGAGCAAGGAAGAAGGAAAGAAAAAGGAAGAGUGGGGGGGGUGGCAGCGCGCAGCCGGGACCACGGAUAGAGGCGAUACCGCAAACAAAAGAGAAAAAAAACACAGAAAAAAAAAAAAAAAAAAAAAAAAAAAAAACAAAAACAAAACCAUUUCCUCUAAACUGCCUCAAUUAAAAUUCCAAUUCCUUAACAUUAACUAGACAGAUGUAAUUGAUGUUCCGACUCAAUGCCAUCAGCCACAUACGUUUGCUUUGACCCGGAUGGUAAUUCAGAACCAAAGUCAUAAUCCUUUCAGAAACUCUAACCAUCUUCCUACUGUCGCAUAUUCAGCUUCUUCUGAUCAAAACAAAUCACUUUAAACUUUUAUGGUCACGUGAAAAACCUCAAAUCUUGACCCGUACAAGUAAUAGCCUCCAUAACUUCGAAAAAAUACCACAGCUGCCAACUCUAAAUCGUGUGUCGGAUAGUUCCUCUCAUGAACCUCAGUUGUCUCGUAAGCAUAAGCUACAACCUGCUUAUUCUGCACCAUAAAACACCACCCAAACCAAAAAUGAAGCAAUCACAGUAAACCUCAAAUGGUCUCUGAUGGACUUGGUAUAUCAGAAUAGGAAGCAGUAGUUAACUUCUUCUUUAACUCGUUGGAAACCUUCUUACAUAUUUUGAGUUCCCAAAACAAACGCUUGCCCCUUUCUAUCGUCAACAUCAGUCAACGGUAACGCCAAGCUUAGGGGAAAAUCCUCAAUGAAGUUUCCUAUAAUAACCUACAAGUCAAAGAGAAAAACUUCCUGUAUCAUCAAAAUCUGACUUCGGAGCUUCCCACUUCGAUUACCGCUUCUAUCUUAGAAGGCAUCAACAACAAUACCACCUCUGAAUUCGCAUACAAGAAAAGAACCUCUUCUAACCAAAAUGUCACAACUUGGACAGUUUAGCAAAUAACUUCAUUUUUCUCGUAGAACUCCUUAAAACCACUCUCAAAUGUUCAGCAUGCUCUUCCUCAGACUUUCGAAUACACCAACAAUAUCGUCAAUAAACACCACAACAAAACUUUGUCUAGCGUACGAGAUGGAAAAUCCUAUUCAUAUACUCCAUGAAUACUGCCAGGCGCAUUUAGUCACCCCAAAAAAGGCAUUACAGCAAUACUCAUAUGUCGCAUACCUUGUUCUGAAAGUAGUCUUUUUGAUAUAUCCUCAGUUUUCACACGUAUCUGGAUGAGUACCCUGAUUUCUCAAAAUCUAUUUGCUGAAACACACUCGCACCAACCAACCGGAUCCAUCAAAUCAUCACCAGUCGGGCAAAGGCGGAUACGCUCUUUGAUCGUCAACUUUAUUCAGCUUGACCUGUAGUCCAACACAACCUUCAUAGUACCUUUCUUUCUUCUUAGACCAAUAACACUGGUGCGCCCCACGCGACACAAUCGGACGAAUUAAAUUUCGUUAUCCACAGAUCUUCCAACUGACUUCCGUCAAAUUCAGUUAACUCGACAGCAGACAUACCGUACGAGCCAUUCGACACCGCCUAGUACCAGGUACCAAAUCAGAUCGAGAACUCAACUUCACGCUCUUGCGCGCCGUUUAAUUCAGCACUUCCUUCAGGAAAACACAUCAGGGAAAAUCACACACCACCGGCUAGAUCGCAAAAUCACCAGUGUAUCUUUUUAAGCCGUCUUUAAGUCUCGCUAACAGCAUAACAACUCUGCCCCAUCUACUACUGCCUCAUUCACCUGCCUUGCCUUGAUAGAAACAGAACUCUUUCCCUUCCUCGAAUCUCAGGAAAGAUCACCAGUCUUAGGCAAAAGCCAGUUCGCAUUAUAAAACUCGGUUAAAACAAGCCAAACCAGUUCAUACCCAAGCAUAACAUCAAUCUGCACUACGUGGAAGACACAACGAGCGUCUAUCCCAUAGUCUCUACCAACAAAUACUAAAAGAAAAUACAAUUUAAACAAACUGAAAAAAGAAGUAGUGUCACUGAACCCUUCGCAGGCAGGUAUCAAUCACCAUACUCGCCAUGCAUCCUGCAGAUAUCUCUAAUUUAAUAUUCACGCACAUCCAAAGAUAUAAACGAAUGAGUCGCACCUGUGUCAAUAAUCAGCUACAAGAGGGGAAAGCAUAAUAUGAACACCGUACCUCGGAUCCAAACGCAUUUACAUCUACAGAAGUCUCAGAAACCGAUUGUUUAAAGCAAAAGACCUUGCCUCCUGACUGGUUACCUCUCUCUUCGGCUAGGACACUGUGGACUGAUAUAUGACCCACCUCUCCCACAGUUGCAAAACAAGUCACAGUCUCUCAACGGCACUUGUUGCAAGCCAAGUGGCCACCUUUUCCCACACUUUGAAACACUUCUUUCUCAGUACUGGCUACACUUCGAUGGGAUACGAAUGUCAAGCACUGAACACGUCAUCUGAAAACACUUAGCAGUGGGCAACCUGGAGUCUCCGCCACUAGGCCUCAUUCAUUACCCACUCUGUCUCUCGGUGAAACCUUUACACUUGGCAAUACGGUUUCCCCGAUCAUAUUCUGAUUUCUUCCGGCCCUUCUCCCUUACUUUCGAACCCCUCGCGUUAGAUUCGGCUCCUGCCGCUUUCCUGCGAUCUUUAAGGUGGGUUUCUAAUACAUGAGUGUUACCACCCAAAUUGCAACAUACAUGAUAAAAGUACCUACACCCAUCGGAUAAAAAGUAAGAUAUCCAUAUAAUUUCAAUUAUGCCCCCAAGUUACCUCAAUGAAACUGCGCCCUAUAGGAAUAGCCCUUACCCAACGUUCCUUUGAGCGUACGGCAUGUGUAUUUUAUAUCUCCACUUGAUUAUGCGACUUUAAUAACUCAUUAAUUAGACUGGGAAUCUCCUCACGAGGACGUUAAUUAUAAAAACAAAUCUGUGUCUCACUAAUUCCUUGAAACAAAACUUCACACAUUUUUGAAUAAUUCGAUUGUAACCCAGUGACCUCGAAUCAGGUAGGCGGAGUGGAUAAUAAUCUUUCUGACAGUUCUCCAUGUGACUUCAGCCCAGAGCUACCAUACUUCAAUUUAAAAUAGUAUACUGUACAAGACCUGAUGUGCCUCUGUCUUCAACAUUUGUGUUAAAGAGAGCUCUAUUUUGCUAUUCUUCCUCGUGACAUCGGCUCGAGAAUAGUUAACUUUCCUCCAGAAAUGGCUCUCUCUUGCAAGACACGCGAGUCGACAAGAAUGAGUCUCAAGGCUGAAAAUUGCCAGCAAACUUCCAAUCUCAGUUCGGUGGUAAGCAAAACCCCCGACCAAUUCAAUUCUGCUUCCUCAGGGAACAGUAUUGAAUGUGUACGAACGGCUGCACCUUGCUGACUGUUUCAUCGCACAACUCAGUACACUCGGCGAAGGAUCCUUCUCGAUUCUCUUUCAACCACUUCUUGAGGCACCAUUCGAUGGGAUCUGUAUGCUCCCUUUGAAAUCAUUUGGAGGAUUUGUUCUUCGUGGUAUUAUUAGCUCAUGCUCUAGGUGGUUUGUGGGGGAGCGNNNNNNNNNNNNNNNNNNNNNNNNNNNNNNNNNNNNNNNNNNNNNNNNNNNNNNNNNNNNNNNNNNNNNNNNNNNNNNNNNNNNNNNNNNNNNNNNNNNNAAACAGGGAUUGAAUACCAAGAACCGUAGAAUUUGCACAAUACAGGGAUCCACCAAUGGAAACGUCCACUGGGAUUUGAUAUUUAUUGCUGGGUAUAUAUUUUUUGGUUUUGUUUUUAAAGGGUACAACCACAUCCAGACAUCGCAACGACGAUGAAUGGGGGAAAGAAAUCACAACUAGAUGCCAACGGACAACUAGGAAAAACUCAACAUUUACCAAGACCUACGGAGAGGUAACCAGACAUUAAUGAAUGACUGGAAAGGAUACAACCAUUCGUCGACGGACGAAAUGGGAAAAACUCAACGUUCACCCAGACCAACGGAGAGGCAACCAACUGGGGACGACCAGGAAAAACUCGACGUUUAUCGAAACCAACGGAGAGGUAACCAGACAUUAACUGAUGAAUGGGAGGACUCGACCGGACAUCAACGGAUGAAUGGGAAAACUCGACGUUUACAGACAUCGAAAGAUGAUGUUUACAGACACCAAAAAGAUUGACCAGACAUUUACUGAUGAAUGGGAAUACUCGACGUUUACAGAUAUCGAAAGAUGAUGUUUACAGACACCAAAAAGAUCGACCAGACAUUUACUGAUGAAUGGGAAUACUCGACGUUUACAGACAUCGAAAGAUGAUGUUUACAGACACCAAAAAGAUCGACCAGACAUUUACUGAUGAAUGGGAAUACUCGACGUUUACAGACAUCGAAAGAUGAUGUUUACAGACACCAAAAAGAUCGACCAGACAUUUACUGAUGAAUGGGAAUACUCGACGUUUACAGACAUCGAAAGAUGAUGUUUACAGACACCAAAAAGAUCGACCAGACAUUUACUGAUGAAUGGGAAAACUCGAAAUACAACCAAACGUCAACGGACGAAUGGGAAAAACUCAUCGUUUAUCGAAACCAACGGAGAGGUAAAUCCAUAUGGGGAAUGGUACAACUAGACAUCAUCGGAUGACUAGGAAAAACUCGACGUUUAUCGACACCAACGGAGAGGAGGAAUCUUCACUAGGGAAGGGAGGGCGACGUUAUGAACAUCGAAAGAGGAUGUUUACCGACAUCAAAAGAAGACCAGACACUUACGCAUGACUGGGAAAGCACCGAAAGAUGGUGUUUAACGACACCAAAGAAAUACCAGACGCUUACGCAUGACUGGGAAUCACCGAAAGAUGGUGUUUACCGACACCAAGGAAAACAAAUACACGCGGGUGCUGACGGGAUAUUGAGAUCUACAAGAUGACAAGGCAAGGCUAAACACUUGCAGGGGGUCUCACUGGGGAGAAGCAAGCUUUCCUUUCCAACGGAUGAGGAAAUAAACCUCUGUGGGGAUUAUCAACACCAAAUGUUGACUGGAGCAACUGUAGCAAAUGUGUCGUACAGGUUGAGCGAAAAUCCGCCUCUGCAGGGGAUACGGUCUGAUGGGGUUUCGAACACAUGAAUGCAUAUGUUUGAAUUUUUCUAUGGCGUAAUGCUCCAUUUAUGAAUGGAAAUGCUACGCGAUUUUUGAGGAUGCAAUGAUCACUACAUGCAAAAUGCAACAUGAACCCUGGCUGGGGAGCCAAAAAGGUCAGAUACUCCGACUCUGUGGGGAGACUCUGACUGAGGAAAUACAGACGCCCCUUAAGAAGAACCCCUUACUAUUUCGCUGAAGUCUGGGGGAAGACCCAACCAACCCUCAGAUAGGAUAAACUCUGCUUUGGAGAAUAUCUGUUACUCCGCUGGGGACGACCCACGCAAUCCACAGGUAGCAUCAACUCAGCUGGGGAUGCAGAUAUCGGUCUGCUACGGAAACUCGUCCAAUCCACUGGUAGGAUAAACUCUGCUUGAGAGAUAAAUGUUACUCCACUAGGGACGACCCAGCCAAUCCAUAUGUAGGAGAAUCACUGCUGGAGAUGUAUUUCAUUGAAACCCGCUCCACUCGGGGAACUUGCUGAGGAAAAAAACACACCAUUCUGCUGAGGAGAACGAUCCUAGUGGGGAGAGUAAAAACUCUGUUGGGGAUGAUAACACGUCAUAUCACUGGAGAUGAACCUCUACCAUCCUGCUGGGGAGAAGCACUCACGACCAUGCUGGAGAUAACAGUAUCACAAACCCGACUGCUGGGGAACACACAAACACACACAAGUCUACUGAUAGACUCCGCUGGGGAACUCCCGGGGAAAAUAACUGCCAGGCGCUCAGCGGGGAUUCUCAACUGGGGAAAUCUGCAAGCACAGGCCUGCUGGGGAUAAACAAUCUUUAGAUCUGCUGGGGAAAGAAAGUACUGUCCACAGACAUCUCUGCAGGGGAAAUAACUCUGAUAGCUUCAAUACUGGCUCAGGCUGGGGAAAAUGUCCUCCACCCUGGGAAACAUUCUGCCCCUGACACUCCCACCAGGGACAAGACAACCUUCAGGCUUACUAAGGAGACACCGAUCUCGGAUCUGUCGGGGAGAUCACACUCUCGACCCAUUGGGGGGAGAUACAAUUUGUUUGACAGAGAUGUCGGUUGGCUUGUCGAACACUGGUAUCCAUCAUUUACCCACAGUGUCGAUUUUCCACUUUUAAUAAUCUCCCAGACUCAUCUGGACUUUUUCUGCUCCAUCAUCUUGCAUUCCCAACUCGUCCGUACUUCACGGAGAUCGAACUCCUGAGAUUCAUACCUACUUUCCAAUCAUCAAACUUUGAAGAGUCUUCUUGAUUAUCUUUCCAGGAUCGUCGUCGUAAUCCUUCACCGUCUUUUCACCGCAAGUCUAUUCCUUGCCCCUGAUCAGGUUCUGUGGGGAUCUCUUGCCAAAAGGGUUCACAUUACCACUGGUAAGUGAAUGAAGGUAUCUAACAGUACCUGCACAAGAGAUCGCCAGAUAAAAGCGUGCCCCAGGCAUGCCCCAGGCAUUUCAAUAUUGCAACGCCUAGGUCACUCAAACUUCCGGAUAAGAUUUCCGGAUUUCAAUCUUAUAAGCAUGCAUCGGAAGGGACCUCUAUGUUUCAAAAUGCAAAUAUUCUUAUCAAACUAAACGGAUGUUUUCGUAAUCAAAACGGUAAUGUCACAAAAACAGAAUUUAUUUGACUGAACACACACUUUAUUGACUGAAACAAAAAGGAUAGCUCAAAACCGAGCGACACACAGGAAGCAAACCCUGGAAAGAGGUGAUUGCGUACAAAAGGAAAAAUCUAUCCUAAUGGCAAUGUGAAACCGUGAUCUCAUCGGGUUCCAACUCAGUUACACCUCNNNNNNNNNNNNNNNNNNNNNNNNNNNNNNNNNNNNNNNNNNNNNNNNNNNNNNNNNNNNNNNNNNNNNNNNNNNNNNNNNNNNNNNNNNNNNNNNNNNNNNNNNNNNNNNNNNNNNNNNNNNNNNNNNNNNNNNNNNNNNNNNNNNNNNNNNNNNNNNNNNNNNNNNNNNNNNNNNNNNNNNNNNNNNNNNNNNNNNNNNNNNNNNNNNNNNNNNNNNNNNNNNNNNNNNNNNNNNNNNNNNNNNNNNNNNNNNNNNNNNNNNNNNNNNNNNNNNNNNNNNNNNNNNNNNNNNNNNNNNNNNNNNNNNNNNNNNNNNNNNNNNNNNNNNNNNNNNNNNNNNNNNNNNNNNNNNNNNNNNNNNNNNNNNNNNNNNNNNNNNNNNNNNNNNNNNNNNNNNNNNNNNNNNNNNNNNNNNNNNNNNNNNNNNNNNNNNNNNNNNNNNNNNNNNNNNNNNNNNNNNNNNNNNNNNNNNNNNNNNNNNNNNNNNNNNNNNNNNNNNNNNNNNNNNNNNNNNNNNNNNNNNNNNNNNNNNNNNNNNNNNNNNNNNNNNNNNNNNNNNNNNNNNNNNNNNNNNNNNNNNNNNNNNNNNNNNNNNNNNNNNNNNNNNNNNNNNNNNNNNNNNNNNNNNNNNNNNNNNNNNNNNNNNNNNNNNNNNNNNNNNNNNNNNNNNNNNNNNNNNNNNNNNNNNNNNNNNNNNNNNNNNNNNNNNNNNNNNNNNNNNNNNNNNNNNNNNNNNNNNNNNNNNNNNNNNNNNNNNNNNNNNNNNNNNNNNNNNNNNNNNNNNNNNNNNNNNNNNNNNNNNNNNNNNNNNNNNNNNNNNNNNNNNNNNNNNNNNNNNNNNNNNNNNNNNNNNNNNNNNNNNNNNNNNNNNNNNNNNNNNNNNNNNNNNNNNNNNNNNNNNNNNNNNNNNNNNNNNNNNNNNNNNNNNNNNNNNNNNNNNNNNNNNNNNNNNNNNNNNNNNNNNNNNNNNNNNNNNNNNNNNNNNNNNNNNNNNNNNNNNNNNNNNNNNNNNNNNNNNNNNNNNNNNNNNNNNNNNNNNNNNNNNNNNNNNNNNNNGUUACACCUCAUAUGUCCUCAAGACUUUCCGCACUUUUUGUUUUCUGAACAAGACGCUUCCGAUCGGUCUCUUGCGGAGAUUAUCCAUGUUAUCAUGAGCACAGACGAUCAUGCCAGACGCAGUUGUUCGUUUCAUUCCCUCUUUUGCCUGGACCGCCCUUUCGGGUUUCAGUCCACCGGGAUACCCUUUUUUGCCCAAGUCGCCCUUGCGGGUUUUCAACUUGCCGGGUGUACAGUUCUUUUCUUUUAUUAUCCCUAACUUUUGCCCGAACCUUUCCCUUUUUCUUGGUUCGCCGGGAUGCCCAUUUUUGCCUGGACUCUUUAUUCUUUUGGUCCAGCGGGUCUCUUUCACGAAGUAUUUUCUAACUGCGUCCGCAUUCACAGGGGAUGGAAAGUCUUUGUCAUCCGUGGUCGUUAACAACGGGGUUCUGUCAGAGAGAACUUUCUUGACCACGAAUGGACACUCAUAACUGUUUAUCCAUUUGCCCCAUAAUCGUCUUGAGGAGGAAGGAUCCUUUUCAACCAACUCUUCCACGUGGUACGCACGCGGUCACACUUCUCGGUCAACAACACGCGUCAUUCACUGGGUACAACUGCCCCAUGACAAGUAACUGCUAGUCCUUCUCCCUGUUAGGCUCAACUUGUCACACUGAGUCCCCAUCCACUUGCCCUUUUCUAAUCAGGAUAUCAGAUGGUAACAUUAAUUCCUUCCCAUACACCUGUGUGGAAGACAUUACUCCCAGUAGAUACACAUCCCAAGGUUCAGUACCCAGGAUACAUACUUUAUAUUCAGUCACCAUUGUUGGUGCGACCAAAUGUGAUCCGGGAGGCACUACCUCAUUCACCCUAACUUCCCCAUCAGACAUCGGAAUCCGUUCGGAUUCAGGGCCAGGCCCCUCCUCCGGGAUCGGUCAUUCCCAAUCUUUCGAUUUGAGUACCUCGAGACGUCCUCAUCAGGGAUCUUAAACUUCCUUGGUUGAUAACCUUCCAUGGGUUGCUGCUAGCUCUUCAAACACAUACCUGAUUAGAUCCAUUUUGGACAUCCACAAAGUGAUUUGAAUCAACAUACACUGUCUCAGUCGGCGAGCAGCCUAUGCCAAAGUACAUCAAGUUUUUUCGAACAGUGAGUGUAUUGUUUCACAGUCGAUAAACUCUUUGCUUAGGUAAAUUGCGUGCUCUUUUCGACAAGACUAGUCAUGCUGACACAGUACGCACCUCAUAGACCCCUUGAGGGCUGUCAAAUACCUGAUUAACAGUGGUUUCUUCCAAGGAAGGCAUCAGAAUCAGAGGUUCCUGCUACUCAUUUUUCUUUCCAUGCCCCUUGGCAGUCACCAUUCCACCUGACCAUUUGAUUUUUUCUUCUUUUUUCGGUUCAGGCAUUUCUUUUUCUCUCUCUCUUUUUUUUUUUUUUUUUUUUUUUNNNNNNNNNNNNNNNNNNNNNNNNNNNNNNNNNNNNNNNNNNNNNNNNNNNNNNNNNNNNNNNNNNNNNNNNNNNNNNNNNNNNNNNNNNNNNNNNNNNNNNNNNNNNNNNNNNNNNNNNNNNNNNNNNNNNNNNNNNNNNNNNNNNNNNNNNNNNNNNNNNNNNNNNNNNNNNNNNNNNNNNNNNNNNNNNNNNNNNNNNNNNNNNNNNNNNNNNNNNNNNNNNNNNNNNNNNNNNNNNNNNNNNNNNNNNNNNNNNNNNNNNNNNNNNNNNNNNNNNNNNNNNNNNNNNNNNNNNNNNNNNNNNNNNNNNNNNNNNNNNNNNNNNNNNNNNNNNNNNNNNNNNNNNNNNNNNNNNNNNNNNNNNNNNNNNNNNNNNNNNNNNNNNNNNNNNNNNNNNNNNNNNNNNNNNNNNNNNNNNNNNNNNNNNNNNNNNNNNNNNNNNNNNNNNNNNNNNNNNNNNNNNNNNNNNNNNNNNNNNNNNNNNNNNNNNNNNNNNNNNNNNNNNNNNNNNNNNNNNNNNNNNNNNNNNNNNNNNNNNNNNNNNNNNNNNNNNNNNNNNNNNNNNNNNNNNNNNNNNNNNNNNNNNNNNNNNNNNNNNNNNNNNNNNNNNNNNNNNNNNNNNNNNNNNNNNNNNNNNNNNNNNNNNNNNNNGAAGAUAAACACUGAGACCUGAGCUAUAUAAUCAACCAAUACCUCAUUGUGAAGUACCAGGAAUUCAUCCUUCAGAUUAGCUCUGUUCACGUCUUGGUGCCCCCUACACCUUCUCAUCUUUCAGCACCGGUUUCCGCUUCACUAGAGGACAGUCUUCUCUUAAGGGUAGCUUGUGCCCCACAACAUCGGUAUUCCACCCUGGUGUAUCUUGAUGCAACCAGGCAUCCACCUGCUCUUCUAACAGGGCUACCAUUCUGUUCUCGACUUGCCUCUGAAGCGGCCUCAACUUUCACUUUCCCUUCUGACCUCGGCGGUACUUGGGAUGACAAACUUGAUUCGCUCCUCGUGCGGUUGAAUCACCUUCUCCUCUUGUUUUGACAACCUGGUUAAUCCCAGCAGAUCACAAUCUUCUUCGCCUUCUUCUUUGGCGUGAUAGGUCGGAUGGUCGAAGUCAUACAGAGGUGUAAUCAAAUUGUUAUCGAUGAGAUCAGGAUGAUAAUCACUUUUGAGGUUGGAAACGAGACAAAUCUAAAGGAAAUAGAACGAAAAAAACAUUGCCAUUUAUCUGUUUUUAAAAUUGCAAAAUUAAAUGAAAAACAGGGAACACCGCUUUUAACUACAAAAACAUCCAUUCAUUACUGAUGCAAAAUGUUGCAAAAUGAAACACCUGAGGUGGCCCUUACAAUGGACCAGUACGUUUCGGGCAAAACGUAUGGCUUUCAUGCAAACAAAAUUAAAACACAGAAAUACUACACUUCCGGAUGAGCGACAGUGAUGCUUUUAGAGGCCUUCCAAUCGCCUGGUAUGCACGAUUUUAUCCACGCCUCGAGCUCGCGGUCAUGGUCAAUCUCUUCACUCACUGAACGAGCAUGAUCAGAAUCCAGCAUUCCUGCACUGACGAAGGUGUACGGCGGGCGACAUCCUCUAUUUGGUCUAGACAACUCUUGAUCUGGCUGAUAACCGACCCCAAACAUGUCUGCUUUCACCACGAUGUCGAUGAUCCUUCCCCAGCCUUGGGCCUCUUUGUUCUUUACCACUUCCAGAGCUUGUUUAUAAGAAGAAAUAGACAGCUUCUUCUCUUUCUCGGCAUCCAAGGCAUUCUCCACCUGGACGGUUUCAAUUGCCAGACUGGAUGCUCUACAUCUUACAUCGUCCAUUUCUACUUUCUUCAUCUUCUGGGUCGUGUCUUUCAUCAAUACACACCCCUCUGUAGUGACAGUCGCACAAGUAUUAUCAACAGCAGGGAAGGCUCCAGCCCGUAGCAGAAGUUUUGGAACCAUAGCCAUUGGACCUUUUAGCUGACCCUCUUCAAUCACUUCUAUUCCUUUCCUGUUCUUUUUCACCAUCUUGACUUUUACGGGACCCUGCCUGGAUACGGGGUUGACAUCCUCCUUCAUUAUCUGUCCCAAGCUGAUAAUCUUAGAGUCCACCAGAUCUUGGACAAUAUGCUUAAAAGCUCUGCAACCUUCAAUGCUGUGUCCGGGUGCUCCAGAGUGAAACUCGCACUUGGCACUCUCAUCAUAGUUUGCAGGCCUCCGCUGCUGUUCUGUAGGAAUCAAAAUCCUCGGUCGAACUAAUCCCAGAUCCCUCAACCUCCUGAACAGAAGGGUAUAAGUUACGGGUGGCUCUUCAAACUGACGAUCCUCCUUCUCCUUCUUCACCCAGCUCUUAGCUCUCGGUGUCUUCUGUUGAGGUGGCAGUUGUUGCUGUUGAGCAGGUGGAUUGUUGACAGGAGUGGUUACAGUGGCAGCAUAAGGGUGAUAACGAUCUUUACUACGUUCUUUCUUUGUGGGCACACCAACUGGCUCAACCUCCUUCUUGAAUGGACCACUAUCGGAGGGUUUCUUUGCUACAGUACCAGAAGGUUUGUUCACUUCGGAGGACGAAGCCUUCCCCUGAACUUUUUCCACUAUCAGCCACUUCUCAAUCUUUUCCAAUCUCUCAGACAUGACUUUCUGUCCCAAGGCAAGCCCUUGCACAACACUGAACAAGUCCCUCAUCAUCUCUUUUAGUUCAAGGAUAUCGGCGUUGGGAAGAUCCAUCAGCUUGGAUUUGGUGACCCCCAGCAGGUUAUCUGAACAGACGAGCUAUGCGCACCGGUUGAAUACUGAAACCUACAAAACAGCAAAUGGGUUAGUAUGACUCACACAUGCAAUGUCUGUCCGUACCAGGAAUAUUCAGUCUUGACCCCCAGCAGGUUAUCUGAACAGACGAGCUAUGCGCACCGGUUGAAUACUGAAACCUACAAAACAGCAAAUGGGUUAGUAUGACUCACACAUGCAAUGUCUGUCCGUACCAGGAAUAUUCAGUCCUGUUUUUUUUUAUGGUUUCAUUGAGACAGAUAAAAUUUUAUCCACAACAUUUUGACAUCUGGAUGUCUCUCAACCUGGGUCUUAAUUUAAAAAUAAUGGACCCUGAGUACGGACAGACAUGAGUUGAAUGCAGAUGAAUGCGAGAUGAUAUGAUGCAAAUGCAUAAAUGCAGGCCCUUGUGCCACCAAAUCAUCUGAAGACCUCACACUUCUCUGAACCAGUCACAUCUGUGGGACCAAGUCACCAUAAAUCCAACUUGGGGGGGUUCCGAAAUAAACGGAACCGGAGAUUACAUCACUAUCUUCACAGGAACAAACACUGAACGGAUGACAAACGGAUCCUCUGAACAAGUGCUCUCAAUCCAACCCGGGGAUCCGAAAUAAACGGAACCCGCUGAUAAACCACGGACAGAACUCUGGCGUCCCAGAAAUAAGUGCCCAUAAUCCAUAGUCACUGUCAGUACCAAGAGUCACCAACAAGUCACCAACCAAUCAUCAACUGUACCUGUAACGAUCAAAUCCCCUCCCCACUCACGGGUGUCAUCUAGGUCAGGGUAAAGUCGAAAGAAACACAGCAUAAAUAACCUUUCGCAGAAUAUCAUCAUAUACACACCCGAAGUAUGUAACGACAAUAUCCCACCAGGGUCUAAACUGCUCGUGAUAUCAAUGUUCCGCUAAGUGGCGCAAUACCACCCGCUUUCCAUGAAUCACUCUAUUCCUAAGUAUCCUAGAUUUCACUCAUAGCCUGGGUAUUGGGCCUUUUACCUCAAGUGACUCCCACCCCCCAAUCAGAGAAACACAGACAGCACAGCAGAUGAAUAUGAAUGAAUGCAAACAUUAAUGCACACAAUAAAUGCAAACAGUAAAUGUACAUAUAUACAAUGAAUGCAAUAAAUAACAGCAAAUAGCAACCAAAACCCUAACCUAGAGAGCGUUAGGAGGAACUCGCUCAGGGAAGAUGGACCAGCAGAGGUCAACUUCUCUAGAGUCCCCAGCAGAGUCGCCAGCUGUCGCAUUACGCGAAAAAACCGGCGGGAAACAAGAAACAACAGAGCCGCCACCGUGCGUUAUUUAUCCCAAAAGAGGGAAAGGAAACGCUCAGAGUAAACCUGGAAAAAGCAUGGUCUCGCGACCACCAGAGUAUGGGUUUCGGGAGUCGGUUAUGCGAAGGGAAGGUAUUAGCACCCCUACGCAUCCCGUAGACUCUACGGGAUCCACGCACAAGAAAGGAAAUUUGGUUGCUAACACCUGCUCAAACAAUCUACACACACCUGGCUGAAAGAAAGAAAGAAAGACUGACUGAAAACUGACUCGGCAGGAUGUCGCAUCCUGGCCUACUUAGUCUAUCAGGCAUAGACAUCAGAGUCGAAGUAGUUCGGACUGGGGAAACCGACACAUGCUGCGCUAGGAUUCGCAUCCUAUGCAUACGUAUCUUCUCGGACGAGAAGAAGAAUCAGAGCAUUCGUAGCUCGCCUGACACGCGCACAAACAAACACAGAAAGGCAAACGUGGAGCCCGACUGCCAAUCACUGGACUUAUGCAAGCAUCGCAACCAAACACACAACAAGAAGGCAAACAUGGAGCCUGAAUGCCAAUGCUGGACUUACAUCAGCAUCCGAAACCAAACACACCGCACACUGGAACCCAAUGCCACUCGAUGGACUUACAUCAGCUUCCAACCACACACACACACUGAACCAAUGCCACUCGAUGGACUUACAUCAAGCUCCAAGCACACAACAAACACAACAAGUUAAUAGGGAGUCGGGGACUCGAGCCAUAACGUGCAAGCACACACACAAAAGAAAAGAAAAGGCGCCCGGAGAGAUCAGCUCAAUCUCCUGCCUACAUACUUCAUCUGGUAUGAAGAUCAGGGCGAUGUAGUUCCCCUACGAGGGGAAAAGGCUAGCCUAACCAGAUAACAGAGGGAGCACAACUCUAGGGAGACUACGACUCGAGCCUAGAUGUUUUCAUGCAAAAGUCACCCUAAGUUAAGGUUUCUAGCUAAAGGCACAAGGGCCACCUACCCUAAGCAUGGCUCACACAGGAAGCAAGCCACACACACUUAACUUGCACAGGAGCAAGCCAAGCAAAACCUACUGCACAGGAAGCAAGUCUAAACUAAUCCAACUUGCACAGGAAGCAAGUCAAACAAUCCUAUCUGCCACAGGAAGCAAGUCAAACAAUCCUACAAGCAAACAGAUAGCACAACGUAUACCACAAACAAGUGGCUCAAACAAGGGUUAGGUUUAGUCAAGGGGUCAUAUCAACCUCAACAAACAAACUCUGGAAUGGGUGAGUGCUCUAACCUUGCCAUUGAGGGGCUAAGGUGAAGCAGAUGAAAGUGAGUGAGAUGAAAGACUCACAGCUCUAUCCCUGGCCUGGGAGAGCUCAAGACAAGAAUGUGUGGGUCCAGAAGUGGGGAACCCUUCUACACAUUUAAACUGACUCAACUGUACAAUUGUACAAGAUCUUGGGUUUGUUAUCUGAAAUGCAUCAACACAGUGGUGUGAGCAAAGCAGAUGACACACUGAAUAGUGGGGGAUAGAUUGCAUCCCUACUUCCACCAAUUGCCUCUUCACUUAGGAGGCUUUGACUCUAUGCAAGGACAAAAUAAACAUCACAAAACAUUGCCUCUUAAGGAGGACUUCAGACAGUUGCCUGGCCAAGUAACAGGCCAGGUCUUCCAGACUACAUGAAGUAAAGAGACAUACCUCAAUGCAAAUUGCUUAUACAAGCAAAGCAAAGCAAAAAGUUCACAAGGAACUAAGCAACUAAAAGCACCUGAAACAGUCAAGCAGAUGUUAGUAUGCAACUCAAAAACAAACAAAACAGAAACAGACAACACGUCUUAGAGGCACAUGGAUGUGCAAGGCACAAGGCUAGGGCAUGUGAGCCAAGCCACCUACAAAACAAAAGAGUUAGACAAUGAUACUUAGAAGCUCAAUCAAAAGAAUUGGUCUUAAUGGCCAUUUGUGGUCAACCUGAAACACAAACUCAAAGUGAGUAACAGGACCACUAGGGCAAGCCUAGGUCAAAAGUGAAUGAGAAAGUCAAACAGCAAGGAUAUAUCAAAUCAUGUUCAACCAUUAAGGAACAACCAAUUGGGUUCACAUCUAUAAAUCACUAUCAUCAUUUCAUGACCAAUUUAGGUCAAAACAUGGCAAAAGAGCUCAUAGAAGUCAACAGCAAGACUUCAUCAAAAGCAAUCUAAAACAUUUUCCAAAAAUCACAAAUAAAUCAUGAUCAAACCUAACCACAUAGCAUGGUAAGCAUGUCAAAUUUCAUCCAUUUGGACAAGUGGAAGGCAGUCAAUGAAAAUCAGAAAGUCAAAGCCCAUUUGAAACAUGCUCAAAGAAGUCAACCAAACAUGCAUCAACUUGAAAAAAUCAUAAAUCAGUGAUAGCAUAUGAGAAAUGAAUGGGAUCAAAACCAUGGCAAAGCUUAAGAUGUCUCCUAAUCACAUAUCAAAUUUCAUGUCCAUCCAAUAAAGUAUGAGAAUUUCACAAAUGAAAUGGGAACAUGUGUCACAAAAAGUCAACAUAAGACCAAACAGGGAACAAAAAUCUCAAACAAUUAGGAAAUGCCACAAACAAUUCCAAGAAAAAUCACAUGUAAACUAGACAUACUCAAGUACAUUCAUGCAAAAAUUCAAUCCAAUUUGAGGUCAAGAGGCAUAGUAUUGAAAAUCAUCAAGUUGCACAUCAAUGGUGUGACACAAAUUGUCACACCCUACUUCAAAAAAUCAUAACUCAAUGACCAGAGAUGAUAAAUUCAUAAACUUUAUACCAAAAUCACCAUGGAUAUGUCUAGUUUAAACAUAAAAAAUUUCAAGGCCAAUGGAUAAAGCAUCACUAUUUCACAAAGGAUUUGGCAAAAGGUACAAAAAAUGGAUACAUGUCACAAACCCUAAUACCAAUUAAAAACCAUUCAUCAAAAAAAUCAGGAAAAAUCAUGAUUAAAUAAUAGAGAUCCAGAUGAACACAAUGCAAAAAAUCCCAUUAAUUUUGGAUUAAACAUGGAUGAGAUAUGAUUUUUACAAGUUUGAGCAUCAAACGAAAUUAAAAUUGCAAAGAAUAACAUGAAUUAAUAGUUAAUUAGGCACGGAAUGGCAGUUUUGUAAAUACUUGAACCACUUAACAAAACGCUGCGUACAGGCAAGGCAAAUGAAAUGUUGUGAUUGGCUGAUGGUGAAUGGAACAGUAAACAUCAUGCAUAACACGUGAACAGGAAACGAAAACCUGGGCAUGGCUAGGGUUCAUCGUGUACAGUGGACCUUCAUCAUCAAUGAUGAACAAAAAUCCCAGAAAUGGGAAUUAAACACAACAAUCAACUCGUCUAGUCAUGUGCAAUACCAAUCUAACUUCAUUUUUUACCAACUCGAGCUAAACAAAACAAAACAUGCAAAAAUAUAUUUGAUUAUCAAACUUGAAUUUCAAAUUUCUCUCUCAAUACCUAGCCAUUUUCUUCGAUUCAAAGCUCAACAUGUUCAUGGUAAGAAAAUCUACAAGAUGUACCUCAUGAUUUCAAGAAUGGUUAAACUCGAAUCUCACCUGAUCUUGAAGGGCAGUGAUGAUUCAAUGGUUUUCUGGCCAAGAUAGGUUGAAACAGAUGCAUCCUUAAGCUCCAAGAAGUAUAUGAAAGGUGAAUCGUGGCUCAAAUCCUCUUGAUUGUGCUCAGAAUGUCAACUGCCAUGGAAGGAGCUUGGAAGAACAGUCCAUGAAUCCUUGCUUACAGCUGGACAAUGAUGCUUGCAAAGAGCUCAAAAAUGGUGGUGAAUGAUGAAGCAACUAAGGCUGGCUCGAGGGCUUUGAGGUUUUGUCAAGAAAAAUCCAAAAUGCAAAAUGAGGGUUUUUGAGAGGAUGCAACUUUUUUCUGUUUUAUCAAAGUGGCUAGGGCUUUGUUCAGAUUGGAGAAUGAAAUAUAUACCUCUGUUUAAGGUUUGUUAAGUUCGGUUAAGAGAGAGAUAAUCAUGAUUGCUUAAUAAAGUGUAUUUGGACCAAUUGCUAAAAAUUAACAAUGUGCAUGGGGGGGGUGCAUGGAUGUGCACGAAUUGGGCUGCCAACAAGUCCCAAAUGUAAUUUGUGAUCAAUUCCAAAUGGUACAAGUGGUUGAAAAUGUUUAUUUUGAAAAGUCAAAUUUUCACUACACUUGAAAAUAAUUCAUGUAAGUUCAAAAAUGCCAUUUUGAUUGGUGAAGUUUUGGUGAAUGAUGAUGACAUAUUUGGAAAGAGGGCAUCAAAUGUGACUUGUAUCAAAAAACCCCACCCAAUUUGGCCAAAUGGUUUGAGAGAUAUGGCCUUUUGAAGUUCAAAAAUUUCUGAAAAUGAUUUGAUCAUAACUUGCCAACCAUACAUGGGAAUUGAGUGUUCUUGGACUUUUUGGAAAUGGGAGAACAAGAUCUUCAACUUUCAUGUUGGGCAAAAAUUCAUUUGAAGCUUGUAUCAUGAUGUAAGUUUGGGAUCAAGAAGUUUCCAUUUUUGGCAAAUUCCAAUUACAAGUCAAGUUUCUAUUUUUGGAAAUUUCUUGUCUGGCUUCAAAUUCUUCCAUGAUGGUGUUUGACAUGUUAUAUGAGGCCUAUAUGGACAUGAAUGAGCCCUCUCAAACCAAAUCCCACCAUCAAAUCCAUAAAAACAGACACAGUUGACCAACAGUUGACUUUUUAAGGUUUCUGGUGAACUGGACCAUGACUGAUGACUUCUGAGCAUUCAAACCUUGACCAAAACACUUCAAAAGGACCCCUAGGUCAUGUGAACAUGUUGUACCAACCUUAGGGCCUUGGCUCAAUGAAAAUUGUACUCGCUUGCUUGACUGACUGAUCUCCUGACCAGUUUGACCUAAUCUGACUGAAUGGCUUGCACUUCAGGUAAAGGGACAAUGCAAUGCUAUGCAGUGGACCAUGUUAUGUUAUGACCUAAUAUGAGAAUGUAUGUACAAUGAUAGGUGCAAAUUUGAGGUGCUACACUACCCAAGACAUGAAAAUGUCAUGUGAUCUGACAAAUCCUUUUGUGAUAAUACUUAUAUGUACAAUUACCAUUUUGCCCUUAUGUCUAUAUUGAACAUAAGGCAUAUAUCAUGUCAUCCUUGUCCAGUUCAAUAUUGGGCCCAUAGACAUUUAUCCUGUUACGCAGGAUGGGCAAAUUCCAUCUAGGUCACUCAUGUCCCUUAGCAUGCUUCGCGGAGUACCCAUCAACUAUCUUUAUGGUCAUCCAGUUUCGGACAAUGUUUGAUCAUCAAUAAGGCACUUGACUCUACAUCUAGGGUCCAUAGUGGUUUCAGGUCGAAGGGUGGUAUACACCAUUAUCACCAUGAGAAUAACUUAUGACACUUUGCAUAACAUUCUAUAUAGUAUGCUCAGUUAGCGGGUCAAAUCCAGAUAAAUAUACUCUUAAUAUUCAUACCGGGAUGGUGUUUUAAGACUGAUAACUCCUUAUCCAUGAUCCAUGAGACGUGAUCAUCAGUCUAUUAUACAUAAUAGUCUUAAUGCUUUAAUGUUAUCCCACUUCACAAUAAAGCUCGACUAUGGAUACUUUAAGAAUAAUGUCCUUAUGUUUAAUGUGAUCUCAUGAUUAAGUCAUACUUGAUACAUUAAAUGGACUAUCUAUUCUAGGGACUUUAUUAGACAAACAUAAUAAAGAAAAAGCCUUUUAUUAAUAAUAAAUAAUUCGAUACAAGUACCAAAAGUAUUGGCCUCUAGGGCUUACACCAACAAUCUCCCACUAGCACUAGAGCUAAUCAGGCAUACCCGUAAUGCCCAUAGAUCUAGUAUGGCCAUCAUGCUUCUGCUGCGCAAAAGGCUUUGUCAGUGGGUCAGCAAUAUUGUCAAGUGUAGGUACUCUGCAUAUUUUCACAUAUCCUCUAUCUAUUAUCUCUCGAAUAAGGUGAUAACGCCUAAGUAUGUGUUUGGAUCGUUGGUGAGAUCUAGGUUCCUUAGCUUGUGCGAUAGCAUCAUUGUUAUCACAAUAAAGACCAAUGGGAUCCACAAUGCUAGGAACUAUGCCAAGCUCACUAAUGAACUUUUUGAUCCAAACAACUUCCUUUGCCACACUUGAGGCAGCAAUAUACUCGACCUCGGUUGUAGAAUCAGCAACUGUAUCUUGCUUUGAACUUUUCCAACUCACAGCGCCACCGUUUAAGCAAAACACAUAACUAGAUUGCGAUCUAAAGUCAUCCUUAUCUGUCUGGAAGCUAGCAUCGGUGUUUCCAAUUACAGCUAGCUCUUCCUGACCUCCAUAUAUCAAGAAUGAGUCCUUAGUCCUUCUCAAAUAGUUAAGGAUAUUCUUGACAACUACCUAAUGAGCAUCACCAGGAUCAGAUUGGUACCUACUCGUUACAUUUAAAGCAUACGAGACAUCUGAUCGAGUACAUAACAUGGCAUACAUGAUAGAUCCUAUUGCAGAUGCAUAUGAAAUCAUCUUCAUGCGAUCCCUUUCUUCCUUAGUUGAAGGGGAUUGUGUUUUUGAUCGGCACAUGCCAUGUUGCAUAGGUAUGAAUCCUUUCUUGGAAUCAUACAUAUUAAAGCGUCUCAGCACUUUGUCUAUGUACGUACUCUGACUUAGGCCAAGCAAUUUUUGUGAUAUAUCUCUAUAGAUUCUGAUUCCUAAUAUAUAGGCUGCUUCACCUGGGUCCUUCAUAGAAAAGCAUUUCCCCAACCAAGACUUUACUUGUUGCAGGGUAGGGACAUCGUUUUCAAUGAGUAAUAUGUCAUGUACAUAUAAUACCAAGAAAACGAUCAUGCUCCCACUAACCUUCUUGUAGAAACAAGGCUCAUCUUCAUUCUUGAUGAAUCCAUAUUGUUUUACUGUUUCAUCAAAAUGAAGAUUCCAGCUUCUGGAAGCUUGCUUAAAUCCAUAGAUUGAUCUUUGUAACUUACAUAUCUUUUGGGCUUCUUCUGGUAUGUCAAAUCCUUCAGGCUGUAUCAUGUACACAUCCUCAAGAAGAUUCCCAUUAAGAAAGCAGUUUUGACAUCCAUCUGCCAUAUUUCAUAAUCAUGAUAUGCAGCGAUAGCAAGUAAAAUCCGAACAGAUUUAACGUAACGUUGACCACUUUUCCAAAGUAGUAUCAGUUGGGGUACUUUUUGUUUAUAUCCUUUUGCAACUAGUAUUGCCUUAUAGGUAUGUACCUUACCAUCCAUGUCAGUCUUCUUUUUGAAGACCCACUUGCUUCCUAUAGGGUUAACUCCUAUAUGAGGCUCUACCAAGGUCCAAACUUGGUUUGUGUACAUGGAAUCCAUUUCAGAUUUCACGGCUUCUAGCCACUUCUCAGACUCGGGACCAGUUAUGGCCUCUUUGUAGGUCACAGGCUCAUCUUGAUCCAUGAGUAAUACAUCACCUUGAUCAGUUAUGAGAUAUCCAUAUCUCUCAAGUAGGUGAUGUAUCCUGCUUAACCUACGUUGGUCUUGUUAUACUUGAGCAGGUUGCUCUUCCACAACUACUUGUGUUUCCUGCUCUAAUUCCUCCAUAGGUGUAUCAAUGCUUUGUGAUUCUUGAAUUUCUUCAAGCUCUACUUUCCUCCCACUGAUUCCUUUGGAAUUGAGCAGGUUGCUCUUCCACAACUACUUGUGUUUCCUGCUCUAAUUCCUCCAUAGGUGUAUCAAUGCUUUGUGAUUCUUGAAUUUCUUCAAGCUCUACUUUCCUCCCACUGAUUCCUUUGGAAAUAACAUCCUUUUCUAGGAAAACUCCAGUUCGAGCGAAAAACACUUUGCCCUCAGAAGGAUUGUAGAAGUAAUACGCUCUUGUUUCUUUAGGAUACCCCACAAAUAAGCAUUUGUCAGAUUUGGGCUCAAGCUUAGUUGAAAUUUGUCGUUUCACAUAAACUUCACAACCCUAAAUCUUCAUGUAAAACAUAUGUGGUUUCUUACCACUCCAUAUCUCAUAUGGUGUCUUCUCAACCUUUUUGGAUGGAACACGGUUAAGUGUGUAAGCUGCUGUCAAUAGUGCAUGUCCCCACAAGGAGUUUGGAAGAUCGGCGUGACUCAUCAUGCAUCAGACCAUGUCUAACAGGGUUCGAUUUCUUCUCUCAGAUACACCAUUCCAUUGGGGUGUUCCAGGAGGAGUAAUUUGGGAUAGGAUCCCACACUCUUUCAGAUGGUCAUCAAACUCUAGGCUUAAAUACCACCACCGGUCGUUCUGAUCGAAGAGUUUAAUAUCUUACCUAAGUGGUUUUGUACUUCAUUUCCUGAGUUCCUGAACUUCAAAGGACCUGAUUUUGUGUUUUAUUAAGUACACAUAUACCAAUCUACUGAAAUAUCAUCAGUAAAUGUGAUAAGUAUUGAAACCUCCUAUGCUGGUAUGUUCAGUGUCACAUACAUCAUAGUGUAUGAGGGCCAAAAGAUCACUUAGCUCUUUCACAAUGACACAAAUUCCAACGUAAUGAAGAAUAUUAAUGCAUCAAAUUCCAAUGUAAAAUAAGAUGACCGCAGUCUCUAAAAAUGAAUCAAAUAAGAAUCAAAUAAGACCGCUCAUAAGUGCCAUUAAGUUAGAGGAGUAUACGAAAAUGAAGCAGUUUAAGUAAUCAAAAUUUAUCAUCACCAAUAAUCGACAAUCUAUCACUGGUAAAGGCUACUGAUUUAAAAACCUUCGAUAGUUUCAAUCAACUUCGAGACGCUAUCAGAUGUGAGAUCUAACUCAGGACGUUUCAAUGAUGUCAAUCGUGGAAAGAGCAUACAUGUCCUUGGUUCAUAACUUGUGGCAGUACAUAGAAAUAUCAUUCAAAUAAAUUGAGCAAACCAAUUCAUAACUUCUUCAUUAAUUAAACUGAAACAACCAAAACUUUGUCUCCACAAAAGAACAAACAGUAUAAAAUUGAUAUAUCUCAUAAGAAAAUUUCAGAAAUAAAUAACAGUACUAUUAAGUACAGUUAAAUACUAGAGCUGAAUUUUAUUAAUAAGCACGAGCUAUAGUAUAAACAAUACAUAAGUCCUACGCUAAAGCACGCUAACUUUCCCACCUUAUGGCGCGAAGCGCAUAGAAAAGGCUCCACAACUUUCUUGCGCACUAAAUCUCUACUCCUCUUAGGCCUCUCUGCAUCGAUCUGGUCACUACAAAGAAAGUUAAAGAAUAUGUUGGGUAGAAAAAACCGUACCGGAGUAUUCUUAAACUACCUUAGCAUGAACUGCACAAGGAAGUAGAUAAGAUUGAAUUGUACAAAAAAUACAAAAUACCAUUGAAUUCAAGUUCUCUACGCCAUUCUUUAAACUAUAAUCAUUCCAGGGUAUUGAUUUUUCUAAUUGGGGUGAGUUCUCACUUUCUUCUCUUCCGAGUGUCCGGUACUUGGACCAAUGGCAUAUGGACAGCACUGUGCCUCCUUGAGGCUAGCUAACCACAGUUAGCUAUCAACACGCAGCAACAACUCGUUGGCGGUCUGGUUGUGCAGCGUCGUUAUACAGGCAGUUCCCUAUAUCCGACAUAAGUUUCCGCUGGUGGGUCUUGUUUCUGUCCUUCCACUUUUUCCGAUCAUUCAGAAUGGACUUCUCCUUUUGACUUCAGCAUUCUUGCUCAGCAGUCUUAAACAGGUUAGCAGUUCAGGAAAGAUUGUGUUCAUAGAACUAUUAAAUAUUUAGUGACGAAAUGUCGAAUUAUCUGAAACGAUUGUAAGAUCUAAAUCAGUCGCAAGUUCCUUCCGAGUGGAACGCCAGAACCUCUCAAGGUUUUCCACAAGCCAAUCAUCUUGAGCACAUGGGCACUACAGGGGAUCUCUCAGCGAACUUUCCUUAAAAGGCUUUGAAACUUCAAAGCUUUCAUGCCUUGCUUGCUCUUGAUAAGGCAUCUUCAGGUGUUCGAUGACAUAUCGACGCUGCCAUGUCUAUGUUGUUUGCAACUCUGAUUCAUGUAGCUACAUAGAGCAAGCAGUGUCAUUGGAUCAUUGACAAUCUUCAAUAAGCAUCUCUCUCUUUCUGCUUAGUGAAGACUAGAGUCCACGUCAGGAACAGUUUCCUCCAAGACAUAGAACUUUCUAUCAUGUUGAGAUAAUCCAGAUUUUCGGUGCGCAAGCCCCAGAAAUUGUCGCGCCAGACAAUUUUUCCUUGUCAAGGAUUGAUUCCAAAAGGUUGUUAGAGGGCUAUAGAUCUUCCCAAAGUAAUACUACAUAAAGAUAAUGAAAAUAAUAUGCAAUAACAUAUUAUUAGGCCUUAAUUAAAUAUGCUCCACUCAUUUUUAUUCAAACAAAUGACGCCCUCAACCAAUUGAUUCGGAAAAUCCCGUUGAAGAUUUUCUAGUGGGUGAUGCCACAUGUUACUUUGUUAAGUCCCGGGGUAGUCGGUAUUUAACACAAAUAAGUUUUAGGAGGAACCUCCUGUCCAAUCGUAUCUAAUACAACCCGGAAUAUUUUAGUUGGUGAAUAAUCCUUAUCAAUCCAUCACAGGUCAUUUUCAGAUCUUGGCCUCUAAACCAUAUAUACAUCUAUUCAUAAUCUUGUUUGUGUAAUUGACCAUGUUUUAGCGAAUGAUAUUAACAACUUAUCUCCAUCACGAUAAAUCGCUCUCAUAGCAUCCACACAUAGCAUUCAGCGAGCAUCACAUCAACAUAAUGAGAACGAGUUAUGGCCCCGUAGCGCAAUGUUCUCCAAGCCCAAUCAGAGAACCAAGCUAACCUAGAUAACGAUCUAAGCUUCCUCCAAGCAAGAUGGCAAGGGUGUCCUCCUUGAUAUUGAAUUCUUCUCUUUCUUCAUAACGAAAGAAAAAUAUAAAAAAAAACAUUAAUAAAAGAAAUCGUUUCAUACAGAGUGAGUAGAUGAGAAAAAAGUUACAUUACAGAGAUAAAAGAGAGGUGCGCCACGCAGGUCCUUAUUUGUUAAAACCAAAACAAAAUAAAGAAAACUAAGCAAACCGCGACGAUCACCACAAGACAAUAAUAAUAAACACAUUAUUAUUAUUAAUUUUAAUUCUUUUAAUUAAUUAAAACCAAAUUAAAUUUUGGCGACCGAUCACACUACACAGAGUUAGCCGGGGGUCCGCUGCCCGGUCAGCGGACGGUAGUUCCGCUGACCGAUCAGCAGACGGGGGUCAAGGGGGAAGCUCCCCCUUGCGGGGUUGUAGGGGCAGCGCCCCUGGCGGAAAUGUUUUAAUGAACAAUUCAUUUGAAAUUGACGCCGUUUUUCGCAUCAACACUUGAUACUUUAAAGCACAACUCUUGCACAGUCACAACCCUAAUCGCAUAAAUCUUUAACAACACAACCCUUGUACCGUCAUUAACCCUAAUGCACCAAUUUCAGACCGUCAAAUACACCUCGAUUGUUGAUUCAUUAUGAUUGAUCAACACAUCAUUGCUUCACCAUAGUAAUGUCGGAUCAAGAAGCAAACGACCAUUGAUCGCUCAAAGGAAAACAACCAUUAAGUGUUUGAAUGAACGAAACAGAAACAAUAUAUCAUAUAUACCAUAUUUAUAUCAGGAUUACUUAUAUCAUAUAUAUAACUUGAUCGAUCUCAAUUGCAUAACCUAUGGACGGUCGAUGUAUCACUGCUUCACCAUAAUAAUGUCGGAUUUCGAAGCAUAGUUAACAUCAAUCAUCCAAAUCAUACACACAUGAUGCCAAAUUUAAUUACUCGUUUAUUCUUUGAUUCAUUCUGUCUUUUAAUCAUAUUGAUACAGAAAAUACAGAAAAUAAACAGCUAUCAGAUGCAUGGUUUCAUAAGUGGCUCUGAUACCACUGAAGGAGAAGAGCGAUCCAAAACGCAGCGGAAUUUAAAAUUUCUCCUUUAGUGAUCCUUACGAAUGGGCAUGAUCAAUGAUAGAAUCGUUACCUCUUGUGGCGAUUGUAACCUUUGAUGCAGAUCUGCGGAGCGAUCAUGAACAUUGAACGAUGACAACGCCUCUACUCAGUCCACACGAACAAAUUCCUUCAAUCUCAGUGCUAGCUGCUACGAAUGAAGGCUUUGAGUGAGAGAGAGAGAGAGAAACAAAAUUACAACUGCACAAAUGCUUCUACACAAGGGUUCUAUUUAUAGAACCACUUGUGUGGGCUGCAAUCUAAAAAUCCCACUCAAGUGUAUAUGGCCCAUAUCUUAUAAUAUGCCAAAAUCACUUAAGCGCGUGGUACCUUACCAUAUUUCGUAUUCUACUUAAGUACACCAUACCUUACGAUGUUCUACAAUUCACUUAAGUGCACCUUACAUUACAGUAUUCCUUAGUUACUCUAUCUCUCAUCAAUCCUUCCUUUUGUGUGUGACCCUGUAGGUUUUCACGACAUUGGCAAUUAUAUUAAAUCACGUAUUUAGCAUAAUAAACAGUGAGCGGUAUCUAGCAACACAUCACUGCUACCCAAGACACGAAAAUGUCAUGUGAUCUGACAAAUCCUUCUGUGAUAAUACUUAUGGUUGUACGAAUUUACCCUUUUUGCCCUAUGCUCUAUAUGAACACAAGGCAUAGACCGUGUCCUUGUCCAGUUCAAUAUUGGGCCCAUAGACAUUUACCUGUUACGCAGGAUGGGAAAAUUCCAUCUAGGUCACUCAUGUCCCUUAGUAUGCUUCGUGGAGUACCAUCAACUGUCUUUAUGGUCAUCCAGUUAGUGGACAAUGUUUGCAUCACAAUAAGGCACUCGACUCUACAUCUAGGGUCCAUAGUGGUUUCAGGUCGAAGGGUGGUAUACACCAUUAUCACCAUGAGAAUAACUUAUGACACUUUGCAUAACAUUCUAUAUAGUAUUCUCAUUGGGGGGAAAUCCAGUAUAAAUAUUACUCUUAAUAUUCAUACCUAUGUUUUGAUAACUCCUUAUCCAUGAUCCAUGAGAUGUGAUCAUCAGUCUAUAUACAUAAUAGUCUUAAUGCUUUAAUGUUAUCCUACUUCACAAUAAAGCUUGACUAUGGAUACUUUAAGAAUAGUGUCCUUAUGUUUAAUGUGAUCUCAUGAUUAAGUCAUACUUGAUACAUUAAACGGACUAUUAUUCUAGGGACUUUAUUAGACAAACAUAAUAAAGAAAAAGCCUUUUAUUAUUAAUAAAUAAUUCGAUACAAGUAUCAAAAGUAUUGGCCUCUAGGGCUUACACCAACAUAAUGCACCUGCCACUUUCCAAAAAUGUACGAUGGUGAUCUUUGCCGACUUCCUAGAUAACAUCAUGGAGGUUUUUAUUAAUGACUUUUCUGUACGCGGGUCGAGUUUUAAAAACUGUCUUACCGACUUAGAAAGAGUACUAGGCAGGUGUAUGAAGGUCAACAUUCUGCUAAAUUGGGAUAAGUGCCAUUUCAUGGUGAAGGAAGGAAUAAUCCUCAAACAUGUGGUGCCCGAUAGAGGAAUUGAGGUUGAAAGGGUUGAAAUAGAGGUUAUUGAGAAUCUACAACCAUCCAAAAUCGUAAGAGAAGUCUGGAGUUUUCUCAGACACGCUGGUUUCUACCUACGAUUCAUAAAAGACUUCUCUAAAAACACCAAGCCUUUGACUGGUCUUAUGAUGAAGGACACUGAGUUCAUCUUUGAUGAACGAUGCCAUGAGUCCUUCCAACUUUUGAAAUGCACAUUGAUUUACUUCCCUAUAAUGCAACCACCAAAUUAUUGCCAACACUUUGAGAUCAUGUGCAAUUCCAGUGACCACGCAGUAGGUGUUGUUUUAGGACAACAGAAAACUAAGAAACUGCAUGUCAUCUAUUACGCCAAUAACACCCUUGAUGAAGCUCAAAUUAAAUAUUCUACUAUGGAAAAGGAGCUUCUAGCCAUCUUCUUUGGAGUCUAUAAAUUUUGUUUCUACCUAGUAGGAUAAACAAUUAUUGUAUACACGAACCAUGCGACUAUCAGGUACCUACUGGGUAAGAAAGAUACGAAGUCGAUACUAAUUCAAUGGAAUCUAUUGCUGCAAAAGUUCAACAUGGAAAUCCGUGAUAAAAAAGGAACUUAAAAUAUAGUAGAGGAUCACUUGUAAAGGAUCAAUGAUGGUAAAAUUGAAAAGUUGCCCAUUAAUGAUUAUUUCCAUUAUAAUAGGAUGGUAGAAUUUGUAAGAGCCGAAGUGCUUGUUAUGCUCAUCUCGCUAAUUUCCUUGAGGAUUUAUAGGCCUGGUACUAGGGGCUCAAAUAUGAAGAAAGAUUUGGUCCCGACGAAGUACUUUCUUUUCAGCAAAAGAAGAGGUGAAUAUAUACUUGUGCCAUUAUUUGUGCAUCUCAUCAUUCUGAGAGACAAAAGCUAUUUGGUGAGGACGGGGGUCUAAGAUACCAUUUUUUUGGACAAUGUUACCCGUGUCAUGCAAAUAACAUGGAACAAUUGCAUAAGGCUCUUGCACUCACCAAGGAUAAGGGUUUUACAACAAGAUUAUCUGGACGGAUAAUGGCUCUUAUUGUUGCUUCUACUUCUAUUCCGAGGUUCCAAUUACCGACUGUAGUGACUCCCCUAAUAGUAGUUACAAAUGUUACCCUGAGCAUAACCCCUAAGAUGAAAUAAUUGACUACUUCAGAGACCAACCUCUCUAAUCACGAGCCUUCACCAUCUCCAUAUCCUAUAAAGAGGAGUAAGAGUGAUAACCGUCUACCCCUACCGAAUAAGGAUCUUCCAAGUGCGAUCUCUUGCUGAAGGGUGUCGAGCAGGAGGCUCUUACUCCUUUCUUUUGGCUUCCUGCUAUUCUUCCUUCCCAGGUACCAAGCACUCUAGAGGAAUUUACUACUAAUGUGGCUAAUGAGGAUUUGGAUUUUGUAGAUGCUUUGCGUACCUUGUUCAGGGUCGGAUCCCUGGUUUCUAUGGUAGUUGCAGGUCAGGAUGACGCCAUGGGCUCUGGUAACCUUUCUAGGGAAUGAGAUAAGCUGAAAGAGAAAUACAUGGCCCUUGAGCGGGGAGAUUUUAAAGCUUAAAAAUAAGUUGGUUUUGUUGCGAGAAAAAGCUGAGUGUGUUAACUCUUUGCAAGAAGAGGUAGAUCGAUACGAUCUUCUUUCUAUUUUGGUCACUCAAAUAACAUAUUUGACGGCUUCUCUUACUGAUGCAGAGGAACACUAAAAGAAGGCUUCUGAAGAGGUGGCUGAAGUGUGUCGAACGUUUGAUGCAAAUUGGAAAGUUAUCCAACAGAAGAAGGAUGACCUAAUCAAUGAUUUAAAAUCCUUGAGGAGGAGGUCGCUAUUGGACAACAGAGAUCUCAGGAAUCCAUUCACCAGGAUGUGGAAGCCGCGUGUGGGAUCCAGGAUCAAAUAGUAGAGCAUGCACAAGAGCUAUCUCCUGGCCUUAAUGUUACUAUUGAUCAACUGAAUCUUUUCCCAGUGGUUCCUAGAGAGGAUGCUAGAAGUGGUCCGGGUGCUUCGGAGUCAAACGCUUACGUUCGAAGGACUUUUAUUUUCCUUCUUCUUAUUUUUAUCUGUUCCUCUAAGGUUUUUGUACGGGCUUUAUGCCAUCGACUGGUAACAUAAUAUAUAUAUAUAUUAUAUAUAUUUAUAUAUAUAUUAUAUAUAUAUAUAUAUAUAUAUAUUAUAUAUAAUAUAUAUAUAUAUAUAUAUAUAUAUAAAUAUAUAUAUAUAUAUAAUAUAUAAAUAUAUAUAUCAUUACCCUUUGUCUACUUGUGUUUUUAUUCGCUUUCGUAUUGCGCUUUUUCAACUGUUGUUAUUGUCCAACUGAGAUUCGAGGAAAGUUAGGGCUUAAUUUUGAGCCCUGCAGUUUGGACGAUAUGGUUGAUAUAAAGAGCAAUGAAUAAUAUUUGCUUAAAGUGUAAAUGACCUUUAGUAUUUUUGCGAAGUCAUGUAUGACUGCUUUGUUUGAGCGUGUGUCACGUUUAGAUGUACCCGAUAUUUCUGUGGAAUUCCUAGCCAGCCAAAUGUGGCUGUUACUUAAGUAUGCUUGCACGAGGGAAGCAUUGAUACUACUUGAUGUAUCAGUAUAUAAUAUUAGACCUGAUGAAAUACGAUCUAGGCUUCGAGAAUUUAUGGCUUAAAUCUCACCUGUAAGUAUUUCGUGUAGAACCAAAUAGAUGUGGCUAUGCCUUAAUCAGGUUUUUCAUGGAUAAGGCAUGUGUCUAGUUAAGCGUGGUUAUGUUUAGAAUUUUACUUACAAAUGAUGGACAUGAAACCAGAUAUAUAAUACCAUUACUUUUUAAUUGCACUCUGCAUUACAGAGGACCAUUCCUAGCCAAGGGUAGAGGAUUCCCGUCUCUGUCUUCGAGGUAAAGCUCUGGUCGAGGUGGACGUCUCUAGGCUCCACCACUCUUGCCAUUAAAUUGGCUAGAUAUGAAGGGGGAGGGGGUGGGUGCUCCAGCUACACAUAAAUUCCAGUAUAUCUUUGACAAGAGGUAUUUGAAUGCUGUAUUCGGACAUGCAAAGCGUCUCCGAUAGCACCCAUGGGGGAAUUUGUUGUUGAAGUUAGACGUGAAAAGCAUCUUUGACAACUCCCCUAGAUUCUAAAGUGGCAUAAGGUACUGUGGGGAAUUAAUUUUUAUAGUCGGGCAUACAAAGCGUAUCUGACAACACCCUUGGAUUUUGAAGGUGUGCAAGGCGGUGUGGGGAAUUGACUGUUGUAGUCGGGCACUUAUUGUGUAUUCGACAACACCCAUGAACUUAGAAGGCGCGCUCGGCUUGGAGGGGUUUAUUGAUUUUGUCAGGAGUUCAAGACGUAUCUGAAAACACCCCUGGAAAUCUUUAGAUUGGGUGUCAACUACUUUGGUUGUACCCCGGUUUGCUGUAAUAUGUAUUCGCAUUUUGGUGCCCUGAAGAAGAGACAAGGAAGGAAAUAGAACAACGAGAUUAUAUAGCAAUAUAUAUAUGUAUUCCAUUUCUAUAUUAUAUAAUUUAAUUUACAAAUACACUAAUUAAAUCUUACGGUCGACUGCAAGUGUGUAUCGAUUUCUCUCCCUAAGAUGUGUUGUCUGGGUGGCUUUCUAGUCGGCUGAUCCGAAGGAUCGAGACCCCAGUUGGUGGGAUGCUUGGCCUCUACUUUUCAGUGUCGAAUUGGACUAGCGUCUUUGGAUUUGGAGUUUCUUUGGUGUGUCUGGGUUGCUUUGUUGUACAUACCGAGGGGAUUGAGAGGACCAGCCUAAUUUUGGGGGAAUACCCGACCAAUGGUUGCAGGUGGGUCUCUUCCAACACCCUCCCAAAUUUAGAAGCUGCUUCUAAGGCUGCGUGUCGUGCCCCUACCUAGGAAUGCGCCCGGUUUGUGACUUACACGAUGGUGUUAGGAGCGUAACUUGGUCAUCGAGUUUGCUAACCUUAACGUGACUGCCAUCAACCAACUCUAUAACUUCAUUCUCCUUGACGGUGAUGUGGCCAAAAAGGGUAUUUAUGAUGAUGAGAUAUUUGGCUGGGAUUGGUAAGGGCAUUCUUUGAAGAUCACUUCCUUCCGUACAUGAUUUUUGGUACUAUCAUCCAGACAUGAGAUGUACUUGACACCGGUCGGGGCCUAGUAAAUAUACGGCUGGAUACAUGUGUUAGACGAGGGCAACAAUCUAGGGGGGGGGGGUGAAUAGAUCACGAUUUUUUUUUGGAUUAAAAAUAUGUCUUUAAAAAUAUUUUCUAUGGCAAGCGUAAGCGAUUCCUGAUUGACACUCGUCUAUCCCAAACUGUUAUAAGAAGAAUCAAAUAUGCGAAUAAAACUAUAACAAAAACAAAUUAGUGUACCACAAUGAUGAGACAACAAAUCAAUAAGUUUUUCAAAAUAACGUUUUAACAAUUUUACACUUUGAUAAUCAAUUUCCAAUGAAAUUAAGAAACCAAAAUUGACUAUGACAAUUUGUCAAACACUUGGUGUGUAGUAAACACCAAGCUGAUUUUUCCUUUGUGUUGUUGAUGUGAAAAUCCAAUUGUAAGUUUAUAGAUUGCAAUUAUCUUAACAAAAACAAUUUGCGAUAUUUUAACACCAACGAAAUUAUCAAUAUAUGAAAAUUUUCACACCAAAUGAGUUUACAAAUUUUAAAUAAAGUAUGUGAACAAAUUAGUAAAAAAACACACACAUGCACACACACACACACACACACACACACACACACACACACACACACACACACACACACAGAGAGAGAGAGAGAGAGAGAGAGAUAGAUAGAUAGAUAGAGAGAGAGAGAGCAUACAAAGAUUUAUUUAGACAGUUCCCCAACCGUCCUCACUACGGGUACGUCUUCCCCCAAUUCCAAUGAAUUAAGAUAUUCAAUAAUCUUUGAAAAAUGUUGAAUACAAGAGAGAAAUAGAAAUUUAAACCCACAAAUUCCAAAUUUGAUGUUGAUUUUAUCUUCUUCUCUUCUCUUGAUCUUAAGAAAGAUCAAGUGUCCUAAUAUUUUCAAUUUAAUCCCCCGGUUUCUCUAAUUCUUUGACAGAAACUCCUUUCUUUAAAGCUUUCACUCAGCUGGAUCCUAUUUGCAAAAUCUUGUGCCAAACGCCCUCAAAUCACACUUGAUCUUGGAGGGAAAACCCCAAUUGAUAAUCUCAAACCAAUUUGAUUUUACAAAUCCUAAAUUGGACCUUAUCAACCUUGAAUCUAGAUGGGCCCCAACAAAAAUGAUUAUGUGUAAUUAUUGUAUGUAUCAAUAGAAAAAGGUUGGAGAUGAUGACAAUUGCUUUGUAAAUUAUUUGAUUUCAUCUCAUUUGAAAAAGAUGCAUUAUGAAGAUGCAUUAUUAUAUAAUAUAUAUAUAUAUUAUAUAUAAUAUAUAUAUAUAUAUAUAUAUAUAUAUAUAUAUAUAUAUAUAUUAUAUUACACACACACACACACGCAAGUUGUUGGAAUUUUUAGACAACAUGUGUCGACGUAUAGAAUCAUUUUUGCUUCUAUGCGUCUACCUGAAGACUCAAUGCGUCGACCUGAAAUGGACCUAGACUUUGCUUGUGCCAAAAACCCAGUAUGCAUCGACCUAUAGGACAUAUACGUUGACCUGAAAGAUUUAUGCAUCUACCUGAAGUGCUUAUACUGAAUAUAAACUUUUACAUGUCAAUCUAAAGUGCUUAUGCAUCGACACAUACUGAACAUAAACUUUUAUGUGUCAACCUGAAAAAUUUAUGCAUCGAUAGGUACUGAACAAAAACUUUUAUGCGUCAACCUGAAAACUCUAUGCGUCGACACAUACAAAACAUAUACAUUUAUGCAUCAACCUGAAAACUCUAUGCGUUGACACAUACUCUAGUUUUUCACAUAAAAUCUUAAUUUUAACUUGUAAAAACAUUUCUAAACUGAUUUUAAGUAUCCUAAGGUACAAAAGCACAUCUAGACUUAGAGGAUAAGGUCCAAUAUACACAAAUGCUAAGUAUCCUAGUUUUGACAUCUUUCAAAACAUUUAUAAAAGGAAAGUGCACUCACAUACUCCCCUUUUUUAUGAUGGCAAAACGUUAGAAGUAUUUGAUGUCUUGAUAAAAUAUCCCUCUGAAUAUGUGCACCUUAGAGACUUCGUUCUUACAUGGAUUUCUCCACCUUUGACAACAUCAAAAAGAGACAAAACCACAAAUGUAAGAAGCAUCAUUUAAAUCUUGCAAAAAGACAUAUAACACUCAGAGGCGUUGCAAGUACAAUAAUAACGUGCACUCACAUUUCAUUAGAAUGAUGUUAAAGUUAAAAUUUCCUAAACAUAAAUAAAUGUGUAAUUCAUACAAAAUUAUAAGGAGUUCAUUACAAACACAUCAUAACAUUUUCAAAACAGAAAAGCAUAAGGAUGUAACAAAUAACAUGAAAGAUGAGAGAUAAAGUGCAUGCAAAAUAGGUUCCAAAUAUGUGGUCCACAAUCAUUUUUUUUGGCUUUAGGUCGACCUCUAAGGUAAUGAGUCGAGGCAUACUGUGUGAAAUAAAAAAAAUCAUGUAAAAACUUCAUUUUCAUGCAAGAAUCGAUAAAUAACAUGCUCAAAUACCAAACUCUCCAAAAAUAUUUCUAGUUUGAAGAUAUAAGGGCAUGGAACACAUUGAAUAAUGAUGUAAUAAAAUGAAGCCACUAUAAACAUAUAGAUUGAAAGCACAUGGUUUAACAUUGGAAUUUUUAGAAGUGAAAUAUAUCACACAUUUUGGAACAUAAACACACAAUCACAUAUGAGAGGCAUAUAAGCAAUACAUGAAGAAAAAAAACUUACGAACAAAGAGACAAGUGAAACGGUACUAUCUUAUAGGAUAAAAUACGGAGGAUGCACUCACAUGAAAUUGAAUUUUCUAACGAAAGUUGAAACAAAUGUAAAGAGUGCAUGCAACAAAAUAUUUAGGAAAGAUUUGAGAUUGAUGCAAAUCAUUUUCUCAAUAAAUUGGACGAAAAAGGAACGUAAUGUAUAUCACAAACUCCCGAGGGUUGGGAUACGAGGUGUAUAUCUCGACCAUCCUUAUGUUUGUCGUCCAACCAGAAGCACCUAAUUACAUUAAGCCCUUUCAUAAAUAAGAUGAAAAAGGAACGUGGUGCAUAUCACGAGCUCUCGAGGGUUAGGUUACGAUGUAUAUAUCUUGACCAUCCGAGCGCUCGUCAUCACCCAAAAAUAUAUUGUCGCCACUGCGAAAAACAACCAGCGAAAAAAGAAAGACAGAAGAGUCGCCACCGUGCGUUAUUUAUCCCAAAGGAAGGAAAGGAAACGCUCGAAGAAAACCUGAAGAAAAAGGAAAGGAAAAGACAAGGUCUCGCAACCAAAUCUUGGGUUCGGGAGUCGAUUAUGCUAAGGGAAGGCAUUAGCACCCCUACGCAUCCGUAGUACUCUACGGGAUCCACUCUUGUUGUUCUUGUCUAAAGGGUGUGUGUUUAUCUAAGGUACUAUUUACUAAAAGAGGGUCAAAAGAAAAUGACUCGCACGGAUGUCGCAUCCACUGCAUACGUAUCUCAUCUGAACAUGAGAAUUAGAGUCUUCGUAGCUCGGCUACCUAUGGGUUAAAGAGAAGUGUGCUCGCUAAGACAUUGCGUCUUAUGCCUACGUAUCUCAUCGGGAAUGAGAAUCAGAGCAAAACAUAGUUCAACUAACUACGGGAACAAGGGUCUCGGUUGCAACUAGGGUAAGAGAAAGGGAAGGUCUCGAUCGCAACGAGGGCGAGAGAAAAUAAUCGCAACAAGGGCAAAAGCAAACAAAGAUUAGUUGUUAGUUGUCAGUCAAAACUCGGCAAGACAUCACAUAUCGUGCCUACGUAUCUCAUAUGAACAUGAGAAUCAGAGUUGUCGUAGUUCGACUAACUAGGGGUUAAGGAUUGCCAUAUGAACAUGGACUUACAAAGGAGGACACCAGCUGUGUCAAGGGAGAGUGGGAAAUGUGUUCACGUCCUAGCAGUAGGUGUCGCAGCUCAUUGAAUCGAGUCUUAGGCAGUUACCUCUCUGCAAUAGAACGGACUGACAUGCCACAGGAUCGGAGACGCACGGAAGGUCUGAAAGUGGGGAAGCUCUGCCCUAGAGUUGUCAUGCAAUGUGGACCUAUGUGUUAGGAUUUACAAAAGGGAACAUCUACCUAAUGUUAGCAUGCAAAGAGUAAGGGAAUUCUACCUAUGUUAUCAUACAAAGAAUAAGGGAAUUCUACCUAUGUUAUCAUACAAAUAAAAAGGGAAUUCUACCUAUGUUAUCAUACAAAGGGUUCUACCUAAUGAGUGCUACCUAAACGGAACAAGAGUCGACGGAUGGAGCACAGAAAGGAACCAGGGAUAAGGGUAGAUGGCGAUGCAUGAAGCAAUCGGCUUACAGGUAGAUGGCGAUGCAUGAAGCAAUCGACUUACAAGAGAAAUGGCGAUGCAUGAAGCAAUCGACUUACAAAAGGAUGGAUGAAUAUGUGCUGGUUCUGUUAAGUUUUGAAAAUGAUUACUCGACGUUGGAUCGAGCUUUUGAUUAGAAAUGGCGAUGCAUGAAGCAAUCGACUUACAAAAGGAUGGAUGAAUAUGUGCUGGUUCUGUUAAGUUUUGAAAAUGAUUACUCGACGUUGGAUCGAGCUUUUGAUCUUGUUUUGAAAUGGUUAUCAAAUGUUCAUUUUAAUUCUUGUAUUAACAGAUGAAUAAAUAAUGAAAGAAUAAACAUUAUACACUUCAUGGGAGAGGGGUACAUUUGUUAUGAAUGGGGAUUGUUCAUGGCAAUCAAACAAUGAGAAUAUAUAUGCCUCAUACAUCAUACAAGUAGGCAACAAUCAUUAAUCAAUAAGAUAAAUAAACAGGUAUAUGAUCAAAUCAAAUAAUCAAAGAAUGAAAUGAAGGAGCAUUAAACAAUAUCUGGAAGUAUGAACAUGUUAAACAAUCAAACAAUAGUGAGUACGGAUGAAAGGGACAAGUAUAACAAACAUCAGAUGAAUCAGACAGAUGAAACUAUGCACACAAAGGAUCACUGAAUAAUUUAAUCGGGAAAUGAGGUGAGGAUCAAAUAAAAUCAAGAUGAAAGGCCUCUAAUACAUGGCAUAUGAGAUGAACAAGGGAGGAUCAAAAGAUCUCUUCAAUUGCCCUAAGCAAUCCCUAAGUCAAACAUCGAUCAUAGAAAAAUCAACCGAAAAGUCAAGUCAAUUUAAAAAUUAUCAAAUAAAUAGUAAAUUAAUCAAGAAAAAUAUGAAAAAUUAAACUAAAUAAGGUGGGGUCAGGACAUCAUCAUCCCCAAAAAAGAUUUUAAAAAUAAUGAGAAUUAGUGUAUAAAUCAAUUGAAAUAAUACAGAAGUCAAAUGAAAAGUCAACCAAACAAACUAGGUCACAAAUAAAUCCAAAAUAAAUUAAAAAUGGGAAAUAAAAUUCCAAGAAAAGGUCAGGUUGAGCAUGAGACAUUGGUCAACCCUCAUCCCAAAACUCAAAAGUUAAAAAUAAUUCUAAGUCAUGAAAAUAAAAUCAAGAAAUGAAUGUGUAUUAAAAUGAUUCACUUGAAAUAAAUAAUUAAAAUGAAAUAUUAACAUUAAAUAAAUAUGAAAAUAAAAAUUAAAUAAAAUUAAAUAAAACAUUAAGAAAUAUGAUUUUUUUUUUGGAUUUUUAUGAAAUAAGAAAAUAUUUUAAAACAAUUAAAAUCUAAACAGAAAAUAAAAUAGAAAUAAAAAAAUGAAAAUGAAAAUAGAAGGUAAUAUUGCUGAUGGGCCUGGAAGAAAGGGGGUGUGGGUAGCGAAACGCAUAAGCCCAGUCCAAACAAAUGAAAUUCCAGCGUGACAUUUAAAUGAAGUAACGUUUUAAUUAAAGAGCCAUGUGAACAUGUGUGUCAAUCGGUCCACUUGUGUUUUAAGUCACUAAAUGACAAAAGACCAUGGACGGACGAGAUCAUGAAACACACGCACGAUCUAGCGGUCUCUAUGACGACACCUCAUCGUCUCUUUCAUGCAACCUUGGAAAACCCUAGUAACAUGCAUGCAUACGCGAAAACAGCAGAUGCAUUUUGCUCAUCUUCCACAACGAAAUGCAAACAACUUAGUGCACCAAAUGACAUGGUAUAAAAAGCAAAGUUCAAGUAUGCAAUGAGUAGAACAUCAUGGUGUCUUGUUUUGGAUAAAAUAAUGGCCUUAGCAUGAAGAAAAUUGAGCAACAAGACAAGCAUAUAAACACGGAUACCACAGAAUUUUAACAACACAAACUCAAACUUAAUGACAAUGCCUCAUGUUGAGGGCUUCAUAAAUGAACAUAUCAUAACAUUAACAUGGAAAAUCAACAUGAAGCAAGCAUGGCAUAAUGGAAAACAAUAUGAAGUAAGCAUGAAAAACAGAAAUGAACAAGCAUGAUGAUAAGCAUGAAAUAUUGCCAUGGAAGAGAGUGAAAAACUUACCUAGUGGAAAUCAGUCCACUGCUUCUUGAUAGUAGAGGAAUGGAAGGAAAUGAGAUGCUCUUGGUGCUUCAAUGCUUGUGAAAUGGAAGAGGAAAGAAAUGGAUAUUUAACUUGCCUUGCUUGCUUGCUCUUGCUUAGCUCGAAAAUAGCAGCCACCACUACUUCAGAUUAGGGUUUAGAAGCUUAUAUAUGUUGGCUCAAGGUGUCCUUAAUGGGCUUAAAUCCAAUCUGAUUUGGUUAUGUGCAUUUGGAGCAAAAGUGGCAUGUGAGGUGGUAUUAGGAAAUGGCUCAUUUUGGCAAAGUUUAAGUGAGUAGAAACAAAGGUACAUGGCCAAAUGAGGAAAAGAAUGUGGGCUGGUUGGUUUGUGCAGCAUGGCAUGGAAAUAAGUCCAAGAUGGUGACUUUGUGACUAUGUAUCUUGAUGAAUACAUGACAAAAUGACAAGGCAAUGCAAACAGUUGGAAGAGUUCAUGGAGCUUAACAUUUUUCAUGUUGGGCACAAAUUGCAAUGAUGAGUGGAAAGAGGUGAAAAAUGGCCAUAAAAUCGUGUCUCACCGUCUGCAAAAUGGCUGGGCCAGUUUGGCCUAAAUGCUGCCUAAAAAUUCAGUUCAUGAUGCCAACUUUAGAUGAGUGCAUCUCUCAAACCAAUGAUCCAGAUGGGAUGAUUCUAAAAGGAUGUGAAAGAGGACAUGGCAAGGUAUAAUUGUUAUGAAGAAAAUAUUUUCAAAAGAAUGCUUGAAGUGCAAGAAAUCUGGCCAAGAAGUCUUGACAAAUUUUGUAGAUUUUGGACUUAAAUUUUUUCUAAGUGUCUUAGAAAAAUGUCUCACUUUGACCAAGCAUAACUUUCUCAAAUUUCAUGUUGGAGAAAUUUUCAAAUGGAGCUUGCAUCUUGAUGGAAAAUGGGCUUAAAGUGUGUGCAACAAUCAUGAAAACUUGCCCUAAAUGGGAAGUCAACCAUUUCCAAAUUUAGUAACUUUUCCAACUCCUGAUUAAAUGAUGAAUCCAUGAUCCAACCUUUAUCAAAUUUCACAUGUAGGCUCCCUUAGGCAUGGAUUUUGAGAUUCCACUCUCAAAAUGUCAAGACUUGACUUUUUUGGCCCCACAGUUGACUUUUCCCAAACUGUCUGAUCCUCGAUUCCAUUGAUCAAUUGAAGCACUUCUAGCUCAAAUAAAGAGCUGAUUUUUUGUAUGUAGACCCUUGUGGACAUAUGGAGGGCCAUGGAAAAGAGUUUCACCUAAAGAAUCAGAAAUAAACUGAUUUUAUACCAAACCCUAGUUUUAGGGCAAAAUGAUCAAGAACUGAUUGCACUGAUUGCCAAUGGAUCUUCCUGAGAUAAUUGUGAAUCUUCCUAGGCCAAGAUGCCUCUCUAAUAAUGAUAUGGAUGAGCCCCUCUACUUCCAACCAAACAUUGCCUGUUGCAGAUAGCCAUGAAACCCUAAUUUCUGAUUAAAUCCUGAUGCACACUCUGAGAGCUCUGAAUCCUCCAUUGAUGAACUGCAGACCACAAUAAGAUACCUGGACCACCUUGAGACCCUUGAGACUUGUAUACUUGGAGAAUGAAGUCCAAUUCUCAAUCUUUCUUUGUAUGGGCUCCUUCUGUUAAGGAGUGAUCAAUCAAACCCUGAUUUCGAAGUUACUAAUGCAAUAUGCAAUGAGUAUGACCUAGUAUGAUGCUAAUGCAGUGUGAAACAUAAUCCCAUGCUUCCAGAAAAAAUGAAGGGUAAAUUUUGGGGUAUUACAUAUAUCUAACACAAUCAAUUACUUUGACUUUUGGCCUAAUCUCAAACUUCUUUUUCAAACUAAAGAUGUUUCGUCUCGAGACGAUGUAAAACAAUGCUUCAUCCAUAUAUGUGCGAGUGAGCUAAGUGGAAUUUUCCCGUGAAUGUUGAUAUUAGAAAUACCUUAUGUUAUGAUCAAAACGCCCCUUUCUCUAACUAUUUUGGGUAAGCAAUGUUUUCCAUUUGAUUGUGACAAAAUAACUUUCACUAAAUUUGACCCACAAACAAACAUUUUCUACUCAGAACUACGUAGCCUUGAGUUCUCCAUCACCCCCAGAGAUACAUAAGAGCAAGACUCGCAAUCUUGUCACGCACCUUAAUAAAAAACAUUUUUGUGACCCCUUUAUUUUUCUCUUUGGAUUUUUAAACUAGAGAAAACAAACAUUUUUAAGCUAACACUUUUGCACUAAACUAAUUAAAUGGUUCCUAUUGAGUUCAACAGACGUGAAAUGUGCUAAUACCUUCCCCUUGCGUAAUGACUCCCGAACCCAAUUUGGUUGUGACGACCAUAUCUUUUUCAUCUUUUAAGGGUUUUAUAAAUAUUUACCCUUUCCCUUUUUGGGAAUAAAUAAAGUUCGGUGGCAAAUUUGUUUAUCACCAUUGAGUGUGCGAUACGCUCAUGGUCGUAUUUUUUGCACCGCGACAACUGGCCUCUCUGUUGGGGAUAUGACCCAAAAUAUUUGGUUCCCUAAGAGAGAGUCAAGCCUAGUUAUGUUUGGUUGUGCUAUUCUGUUUGAUUUAUUUGUUUGGCUUUACUCUAUCUUUUGUUUUUGUUAUCUCAUGUGUGUUUCCAUUGUUAUCAUGUAUAUGUUGUAUUGCUUCAUUAUGAUGUUGCUAUUAGAUUGGAUAUUCUGAUUGAUUUGACACAUUAUGAGAGAUGAAUUUACACACAAGUCUCGAGAAAACAUAAGAUAGGACGAUGGUUGCGUAGUGAGGGCCUUUCAGGUGUAUAUAUCGCGUGGUCGUCGUGAACACAUCAUUUAGAGUAGAUCCUCUUGAGAGUGUUGUUGCCCGACAAGUAUUUGUUGUAAGCUUCAAUAUUUUCAUAGGGGUCAGUGACUUUAAUAAACUUUGUAUAACAUUAAACCCUUUUGCCUACUAGGAAUGAUGGUUGUGUAGUAUGGGUAAGCGAGGCGUAUAUCUCGUGGGGACGAUACAAGAACCUCACUCAUAGUAGAUUCCCUUGAAGGAAUUAACGUCCGACAAGUAUUUUUCGUAAGCGGUAAUCAUUUUUGGAGAAUCCAUGAUUCUGGGAACCUUUCAUAGAACCUUGAAGUCGACGUUUGCGUAGUGCAGGUCUGCGAGGUGGAUAUCUCAUGGGGUCGACAUGAAAACUCACCUAGAAUAGAUCCCUUAGAGGAAUUGACGCCCAACAAGUAUUUGUAAACCCUAGAUCAUACCUGGUGAUAUCUAUGACUUUAGGAACCUUUAAAAACUCUAGAUCCUACCUGGUGAGAACCUUACAUGAACAAAGCAAACAGAUUCAUACAUGACCUGAAAACACUAGAAGUGUUCAAAGAAAAUUUCCAUAACAGGUUCAUACAUGACUUGAUGACAACUUGAUUAUUUAAAUAAAGUUUCAACUAU
rnacentral:lncRNA from 1 species